rnacentral:lncRNA from 1 species
UGCACAUAAAAAUUUCCAUGGUUAUUUGAUUCAUUUCUGUUUUAAUAUGGAAUUUCUACUCUUAAUGUCCAAUUGUGUGCUUUGUAAUUGCCUUUGCCUUAGCAUGACCAUUAGAUGGAUUUGUUUAGGAUUUGAGUUUUGGUGCCUUUUUAGGAAAUGUUCUUAACUUGAAAUAAAAUGUGCUUCAUGUUGAAUAUUGGUUGCUGUUUUGACUUUUUGCUUUGCCUUUGACCCUAGUCUUGGACUAGUGGUUUGUACUCAUCUUUUGAGCUUUGUAUUUCAGGUUCAAGCUAUUAGCUCUAGUGGUUGAUGCUAUCUCAUGACUUGAGAUGCAAAUUUGCUUUAUACACUAGCCUUUGUUGUGUUGUAGGUUCCUUGGCGAUGAACUUACUUGAGUUGUUGAGUUGUUGACUUGCCUUGUGUGCAUAUUGGUUGUAACACUGUUGACUGUUUGUUGGAUUUGUCUGAAUGUGAAUAUUGACUUGUUUGACUUUCUUACAGGUACUUUAGCCGCUUUAGCUCAUUGCUUGAGAUUUGCUUUGCUUGUGGUUGGCAUACCACCUAGGUAAUCAUCCUCUAAAUCCAUGUAGUCUGGAAGCCCUGUCGUUUCUGUUUGGCAGGCAUUUAGCUGAAGUCCUCCUUAAGAGGCAAUGACUGUGAUUGUUUAUAUUUGUGCCAUGUACUUCAAGUCCUCCUAAGUGAAGAGGCGAUUUGCAGAUAGAAGGGAUUAGCAAUCAAUCCCCUACUAUUCAGUUGAGUCUUUCAUUAUGCUCGUACUACGUGCUGAUGCUUUUGAAUAAACACCCAAGAUCCUUGUAUAUAGAGUCAGUCAAGUGGAGUAGGGUCCCUCAUUCUGGACCCCCACGUUUUCAUUGAUUUGAAGCUCACCCAGGACCGGGUUAAGAGCUAUGAGGUCUAACCCUCAUUACCUUUCAUCUGCUCACCCUGACGGUCAAUGUCAGUGGUUAAGAGCCUCAGACACCCCUUCCAGUGUUGGCUUGUUUGUCGAGGUUGAUAUGACAAAGAGCUAUGAGGUCUAACCCUCAUUACCUUUCAUCUGCUCACCCUGACGGUCAAUGUCAGUGGUUAAGAGCCUCAGACACCCCUUCCAGUGUUGGCUUGUUUGUCGAGGUUGAUAUGACCCCUUGAUUAAAGCCCAGCCUUGUAUGAGCCACUUGUUUGCAUAUAGCGUGUGAUACCUAUUCACCUAUGCUUGUUUAUUUGCUGUUUAGGCUAGCUUGCUUCCUGUGCGAGUUAGGUUCUGAUUAGAGACCUCAAUAUAAGGAUCGUUUGCAUGACAACUUCUAGGCUCGAGUUGUAGUCUCCCUUUUAGUUGUCUCCCUAGUCUCUGGUUAGGAUAGAAGUUUUUCCCUGUUAAGGGGAACUACGUCGCCCUGAUCCUCCUACCAGAUGAGGUACGUAGGCAGGAGAUCGUGCGAGAUCUCUCCGGGCACCCUUUUCUUUUUUGAGUGUGUUUUGCUUGACAGCUAUGAGGUCCGAGUUCCCGACUCCCUUCUAGUCUGUGUGUUCAACCUUUUUCUUUUUCAACCCUUCUUCUUUUGGUGUGUGUUUGGAGUCUGAUGUAAGCCCAGCGAUUGGCAUUCGGUUUCCCGUGUGUGUUUGUUUAUUUGUGGAGUCAGAUGUAAGACCAUUGAUUGGCUAUUUGUUUCCUGUUUCUUUCGUGGAGUCGGACGUAAGACCAGCGAUUGGCAUUCCGUUUCCUAUUUGCGUUUGUUUGUUCGGAGUCAAAUGUAAGACCAACCAUUGGCAGUCUGUUUCCGUUUGUGUGUUUCUUUUGACAUCUCAGCGUCUUUCUUUCAGCGUUUUGUUUCGGUGUGCGUUAGCCGAACUACGGUAGCUCUGAUUCUCAUUUCAGAUGAGAUACGUAGGCAUAGGAUGUGAUAUCCUAGCGAGCCCGUUUCCCAUUUCCGCGAACUACGUCGACUCUGAUGUUUGUCUCUGACAAACUACGUAGGCCCAGGAUGCGACAUCCUGCCGAGUCCCCUUCCUCCGUCGUCUUUCGCCUGUUUAUUCCAGUGUGCGUGCAUUCUUUUGAGCAGUUAUUUGGCAACCUUAUUCUAUUCUUCUGAGCGUGGAUCCCGUCGAGUACGAUGGACGUAAGGGGGUGCUAAUACCUUCCCAUUGCGUAACCGACUCCCGAUCCUAGCAAUCUCCGGUCGUAAGACCAUUUCCUUUCCAGGUUUAUUUCGAGCGUUUCCUUUCCCUCUUUUGGGAUAAAUAACGCACGGUGGCGGCUCUGUGUCUUUUCCCGCCGGUUGUUUUUCGCGUAUGCGACAACAGUUAGUUUAUGAGUUGUUUUCCUUGAGAGACUAUGGUAUAGUUAGUAUUUCUCAAGAAAUCUUAGACUGUGUGUCUUUGAAUUUGUUGUAAUCAUAUUGAUUAUUGGAUUAAGUCCUUAUUGAGAAGGCGAAAUCACUCAGGUGGAUGGAUUAGACGUAGUUUCGUUAACAGUGAGCCAGAAUAAAAAAUACCUGUGUUCGUAUCUUUAUCAUUAUCUUUUUUGUUUGAUAUAUUGGGCUACAAAAGUUUUAAUCCUGAAACUCAAUUCAAACCCCCAUUUCUUGUAUUUCUUGCGCUUUCAAUUGGCAUCAGAGCCCCAGUUCUAAUUUUUACUACUUUGGUAUCAAACACUUAAUUAUGUCAGAUAAAUAUCUACUAUUUUUGAAAUAUAUUAUGGCACAGGCAAACAAUGAUAAAUUCGUUAUUAUGCUAAACCUUCAAUCUUUGAUGCGAGAAAAGUUUGACUAUUGGAAUAUUGAAUCGAAAGUUUUAUUUAUAGUUUGUGAUGUUGACCUAAUGGUAUAUGGUGUUAGAUAGUUCACACAUCUUGUAGAUGUAAAUAACACUAAGCUUGAAAGAAGCCAAAAUGGCAUGGUCAAGUAAAAGAAGGAUCACAAGAAAUAUCGUGAUCCUGAAAUGGAUUCUGUACAGGUUGGUUCCUCUGAUUUGGUGGGUGGUGUUCUGAGUGGGGCUAAAACCCAACCCGCGAGUUACACUAGGAUUAGCGUGGUCUCAUGUUGCCUCUCAUGUUAGGUCAACAUGUUUUUGGCAACGUGACAUACCACAAGCCGGACGAGGUUCUUUUGAGAGAGCUCUUCCUUUGUGGAGUAUCCACUUUGGUUGGGUUACCUCAUCUGAGCUGGUGACUUCGGUGACCGUUCUUUCCCGGAUCUUUGGUUUAGGCGAUCUUAUGAGAGCUAUAGCGGCACACCCGAAAGGGCAAACCCGUUGAGUAUCUUGUCCGAUUGUCGAGACCAUUAUCCGCCUUAGGAUGACCUGAUUAGAAUUCACCUGUGAGGGGAGGGUUGAUUCUUAUAGAUGCAUAUUCUGUUGGUGACUCUCGGAUGGUGACUUUGGUUCAGUCGGAUUUAUGGAUAUUUAUUUCUGAGACGCUGGAGUGCUAUCCGUGAUAUUUGUCAGCGGGUUCCGUUUAUUUCGGAUCCCCGGGUUGAGUUUGGAGGUUACUUGUUCAGAGGAGCUUGUUGUUAUCAGAUCAGUGGUUCUCCAGUGAUGAUGGUGAUAUAUCCUCAGGUUCCAUUUAUUUCGGAACUCUCAAGUCGGAUUUAUGGUUACUCAGUACCUCAGAUGGUUGUGAUUAGUUCAGAGACCGUAACUCCGUGUAGUGGAUGUUCAGAUGACUUGGAGGAUGGCACAGUGCAUUGCAUUCAUGCAUCAGCAUCAUUCUCAUUUUGCAUUUAUCCGCAUCUAACUCAUGUUUAUCCAUAUGCAAGGUACAUUCUUGAUUGAGAUCCUGAUUGAGAGACACCUUUGUUCCAGAUAUGAGGACUGGCUUGAAAGAUGACGUCGUCUACAGUUUCUUUGACCCAGAGAUUGGUGUGUUGAAAGAUAUGAUAGCAUUGAUUACACCUGACCGUGUGGGGAUGUUCCGUGAGAUUUAUGGUGGUAUUCUGAAGGUGGUUUUCAGGCUCUUAGAUACAGAUAGGAGUGUCAUCCAUACUCUUCUCCAGUUUUAUGACCCUGGUUUGAGAUGUUUCGUUUUCCCGGAUUACUUGUUGAGGCCUUUGAUGGAGGACUAUGCCAGUAUCCUAGGUCUUCAGAUUAGAAACCAGAUUCCAUUUUAUGUCACUAAGGGGGAACCUGAUGUUGCUGAGAUCUCUCGUGCUCUUUAUUUGAGCCCAGAAGUGACUAAGGGGGGUUUGAAGGAAAAGUGGAAGUUGCCCGGUUUUCAUCUGAGUUUCUUGGAAGCUAAGGCCAAGGAGUAUGCUGUUUUGGGUAAUUGGAAGGCUGUAUGUGCUCUGCUUGCUGUCAGCAUUUAUGGGAUCACCAUGUUCCCUAAUCAGAAGAACUUUGUGGACAUUAAUGCCAUCAGGUUGUUUGCUCAGAGGAAUCCUAUUCCUACCCUAGUUAGGGAUGUUUAUUACUCGGUCCAUAAUCGGAACGAGAAGCGGCGUGGUGGAUUGAUCAGAUGUUGUGCUCCACUGUUACACAAAUGGUUCAUGGGGUAUUUGCCUUCUAGAGGUGCCUUUGUCUUUCUUGAUCCUACUGUCAAAUGGUCAAUCAGGUUAAUGGGUUUGCGAGCCAAGGACAUAGCUUGGACUCACAAUGGUCUGGCUGGACGAGACUUCAUUUACAGUUGUCGGAGUCUUCCCAAUGUGCCUCUUAUAGGAGUUCAAGGUUGCAUUAAUUACAACCCGGUGCUUCUUAGGAGACAAAUGGGAUUUGCUGUGGAGGGUCCUCCCCUUGGGCGCGAGAUUCAGGAGUCUUUACCAAUGUGCCUCUUAUAGGAGUUCAAGGUUGCAUUAAUUACAACCCGGUGCUUCUUAGGAGACAAAUGGGAUUUGCUGUGGAGGGUCCUCCCCUUGGGCGCGAGAUUCAGGAGUCUUUCUACUUCCCGAUUGAGGGUAAUCCGACAAAGUUGAGGCAAGUGUCUGAUGAAUGGCGCGACAUUCAAAGGAAGGGCAAGGUUCCUUUUGGUAGGGUUAAUAGCAGGUCUUUUCCUCCGUUUGAUGAUUGGCUUAGGAAGAGGAUUGAGAUCACACAUUUACCAUUUCCUGGGGGUGAUCCUUGGUGUCCGUUGAUUGAGGGGCCAUGUUCUUCUGUCAGCAUGGAAGAGUUCCUUGAGAUGAAGAAAGCCAGAGAUCAGUUGCAAGCAGAGAAAACUGGGUUGGAAAUGAGUGUUGCUAGAAUCCAAACGGCUAAUCAGGAAAUCAAAGGGAAAAUAGAAGACCAGGAUAAGAGACAUGCUCUAGAGGUGAAGCGCUUUGAGAUAGACACCGCUUAUUACCACAAGAUCAGCCAAGCGUUAGAGUUGUCUACAAAGGAGCACGACAUUACCAAGGAGAAGUUGGCUAGAGCUUUGAAGGUCAUUGAGGAUGAGAAGAGGAGGCAAAUUCUUGUGAAGAAUCAGAGAGAAGCCAGAGUCAAAGCCCUUACCGCCGAAUGGGAAGCAAAGCUGAGGGUUAAGGAAGAAGAGAACCCGAAGAUUGUUGUUGAGAGAGAUCAUUAUCUUGCUGAGAGGGAUCAUUACUUCCGAUAGAUGAUGAUUCACCAGAAGGAGGUGGGAAGACUGCAACAGGAGAACACUGAGCUCAGGUUUGCUAUGAAGUUUACCAAGAUGGUUGAUGAUGCAGAGCCUUCUGUGGGACCUUCUUCAGUGUAGACUUUUGUUAUUAUGUGUGGGAUUACCGUCAGGCCUGUUGACGGAAUUCGCGUGCUUGUAUUUUCUUUCUGAUUCUGGAGAAUUGUAAUUUGAUUUGUAUCAGACUUGAUGUAUGACUCUUGCAAGUGUAGUGCACUUUUGAUAUGCAGUGGUUGUUAUCAGUUGAUGAUUGAUUUUCAAGCUUUAUUUGCUUUUCUGUGCACACUCACAUAACACACACAUGGUCGGGUGAUAGCUUUGCUAAAUCAUAACUCUCUGCUCUAUAUGGUGAAACCAAAUGAUUGAUGUCAGAAUAUUGCUGCCAAAUUAUUACCUGUCUCGAUGAAACCAGGAUCGAAAGACAGUGUGCUCCUCAUAUGGAUAGACAUUGCAUUCAUGCAUGAAUCAUAAUAACUUGUCUUCUACUUUGCAGGUGUCAGUUUCUAACGUGUUUGAUUGUUUCAGGAAUCAUUGCUCGCGCACGUAGAAUCAUUCCUUUGCACGUAGCACGUCCACACAGAUACCCUACCAGGCGCAACAAAUCCAAACUGAUGGAUACAUCCAACUAUUCUCGAGUUGAAAGAGAAGAAGUGGGGAGAGACUGACAUAUGUUAUGCAAGGAUUCGCCUUAGGCCAGAGGCACUGGUUAGAAAGUGGGAAGCUUGAGCGGGCUUCUGCUGCUAACAGUGGUAAUAAUUUAGAGGGUGUCUCCAACAACGGUCUUGGUGGUUCUAGGGAUGGUGGUGAUCCCAGGAAGAAGGCGACUACUGCUGGUGUAGUAAUCAAUAAUGGUGGUGGAUUUGGUUUUGCUGCAGGCGGUGGGCCCGGUCCUGUAGUCAAUAAUGUGAAAGAUAGUCUGUUUCCUCCUUUCUUUGGGGCCGAGGAGGAUAGGGAAGAAGACCAGUUCUCAGUACUGAAUGAGCAAUUUGGCCAAUAUGGUGUUCAACCACCAAACAAGGAAAUUCAGGUGCUGGCUGAGAAGAUCAGGGCUUUGGAAAGCUAUGCUACUCCGGGGGUUGUCAACAUGUCAAACAUGGGGCUAGUUGAGGGGAUUGUGAUCCCACAGAAGUUUAAAGCGCUUGCGUUUGACAAGUAUAAUGGGAGUUCUGGCCCGGAAACUCAUCUUCAGGCAUUCGUCCGAAAGAUUUCUGCUUAUACAAUGGACCAGAAGCUAUGGAUGUACUUCUUCCAGGAUAGCUUGUCUGGUGGGUCUCUGGAAUGGUAUACUAAGUUGAGGUCAUCAGACAUUAAGAGCUGGCAGGAUCUUGGAGAUGCGUUCUUUAAACAGUAUCAAUUCAAUGCUGACAUGGCUCCUAGUCGUACCCAGUUGCAGGGUAUGUCUCAGAAGCCUAAUGAAGGGUUUAAAGAAUACGCACAGAGGUGGAGGGAGUUGGCUGCCCGAGUCCAACCUCCGUUGGUAGAUCGGGAGAUGUCUGAUCUGUUUAUGGGUACCCUUAAGGGGACGUUUGCAGAGAGAAUGGUAGGAUGCCCGGUUACCAACUUUGCUGAUAUAGUGGUGGCUGGGGAAAGAAUAGAAAGUUGGUUGAAGAUGGGAAAGAUACAGGGUAACGCUUCGUCGUCUGGAUCGAAGAAACCCUUUGGUAAUGGCCAGAGAAAGAAGGACGGUGACACAAGUGCUGUGUAUACCCAGAGGGGACAAGGUAGGGAUCGUUACUACCAGCACACUGCUGUGGUAACAAUUCUUGCUGAUCAUCAACAUGCACAACAGCAUCAACAACAACAGCAACAACAACGACAACCAUUUCAACAGAGACCGCAGAGGGCCGGGUAUCAGGUGAGAGGGCGAAUGACUGAUCGUCAAUUUGAUAGGCCACCUGUGACAUACUCAUUCCUGCUGAAGAAGUUGAAAGAUUUGGGGUUGGUUCAGUUGAGAACAUUGGCUCCGGUGAGACCCGAUCAGAGGCCUGCCAGUUACGAUGAGAAUGCCAAAUGUGAAUUCCACUCUGGUGCCCCUGGACACAAUGUGGAGAAUUGUAAAGCUUUUAAGCAUGUGGUCCAGGACUUGGUGGAUUCUAAGGCAAUUAACUUUGCACCAUCACCAAAUGUUAAUGCUAAUCCCAUGCCCGCGCAUGGUCAGAUGGGGGUGAAUGCAAUUUCUGAGGAUAGGAGGACGAUUGGGCUGAUGAAUGUGGACCAGUUGAGAACUCCUUUGGCUGAGGUCAAGAGACAGUUGUUGAGGAAUGGGGUCUUUCCGGGUUGUGAUGAUUGUUGUGUUGCGUGCACCGUUGCUCCUAAUGGGUGUGUUUUGCUGAGGGAGGUUGUCCAGAGGAUGAUGGAUGAGGGAAGCCUUAGAUUUGAGAAGGUUAAUUUGGGGAAGGAGGAUGUCUCCACCAUAACCAUCUACUUUGAUCCAAUUGACUUGUCAGCGCUGGCAGAUGCGGCUCCAGUUACUAUCACGGUACCUGGGCCAACUCCUUAUGACAAUGAUGAUGUGGUGUCGUGGCACUAUGGUGGGGAGGUUUACUGUAAUAGGGAGAAGCAAGAGGAUCAGACUGCAGGUGAAACCAUCGUUUCAAAGGUGGAUAAUGCCGGACCCAGUGGUUUUACUCGCAGUGGAAGGUUGUUUGCGCCCGACACAUUGAGGAGUGGGGAUGGAGAAAAAGAAAAGAAAGAUAAGGUCGAGGCUUUAGCCAGAGCAAGAGGGAAGCAGGUGGUAAGCGAGGGUACUCCUGUAGUGACAUCGGCGCCCGUGGGCUCGGAAAAAGAACUUGAUGAUGAAGCUGAAGAAUUUCUGAGGAUCAUCAAGAAGUCUGAGUAUAAGCUUGUUGACCAUCUGCAGCAGACGCCGUCCAAAAUCUCAAUCUUAUCUUUGCUACUAAGCUCUGAGGGGCAUAGAGAGGCUUUGUUGAAAAUACUGAAGAGAGCCUAUGUCCCCCAGGAGAUAACGAUCAAUCAGCUGGAGACGGUGGUGUCUAAUGUCAAUGCCAGCCAUGGGCUGGGUUUCACUGAUCUGGAUUUGACUGUGGAUGGGCAUAAUCACAAUAGGGCAUUACACAUUGUCAUGGAGUGUAAAGGAGCGGUGCUUUCGCACGUGUUGGUGGAUACCGGCUCAUCACUCAAUGUGUUGCCUAAGAAGGCCCUGGCGAACCUGGACUGUGAAGGAUUCGUUCUGAGGCCAACUGAUUUGGUGGUGAGAGCAUUUGAUGGUUCGAAGCGGGCUGUGUUUGGGGAAGUGGAGCUCCCCGUGAAGAUUAGGCCCGAGGUGUUUAAGUCUGUAUUUUAUGUCAUGGAUAUUCAGCCGGCAUACAGUUGCCUGUUGGGUCGACCAUGGAUACAUGCUGCUGGGGCAGUGACUUCGACUUUGCACCAGAAACUGAAGUACAUCUGGGACGGGCAGGUCGUCACGGUUUGUGGAGAGGAGGACAUACAGUGACUUCGACUUUGCACCAGAAACUGAAGUACAUCUGGGACGGGCAGGUCGUCACGGUUUGUGGAGAGGAGGACAUCUUCGUCAGCCACCUAUCAUCGUUCAAGUAUGUUGAAAUGGACUGUGAGAUAUGAGAAACACCGAGUCAGGCGUUCGAAACCGUCAAGGUGGAGAAUGCUGUUUUUGCUAAAGAAGAGAAGAAGUCGUCCAUUUCUUCGUACAAACAGGCUGCGGAGGUGGUAAAGAGCGGAGAAGCCCCAGGUUGGGGAAAGAUGAUUGAUAUCGCCGCCAAGGAACACAGAUUUGGGGUUGGUUAUCAGCCGGGUCGAGGCUCGUCUGGGCGGAAUAAAGGACGUCGUCAGUCAUUCAUGUUCACCAGUGCUGGAAUGCUGGAUCCAGAUCGCAUCUGUAUGGUGGGUGAAGAGAUCGACAAUGACUGUGAGCUUGAUCAGUGGAUAAAACCGUGCAUACCAGGGAUGGAGAUCCAGAACUGGAAGGCCGAAAAGAUCAUCAGUGUCACUCUACAUGAAGAGUAAUAUUUCUGUUUUUCAAUUCUGUUUGCAUGAAAGCCAUACGUUUUGCCCGAAACGUAUUGGUCCAUUGUAAGGGCCACCUCAUGUGUUUCAUUGUGCAACAUUUUGCAUCAGUAAUAAAAGGAUGUUUUUCGCAUUAAAAGCGGUGUUCCCUGUUUUUCAUUUAUUUUUGCAGUUUAAAACAAAAAUAAAAAUGGAAAUGUUUAUUUUCAUUUUUCCUUCCUUUUGAUUGUCUUCGUUCCGACUUUCGUAUUCUCCGGAUCUCAUUGAUAACAAUCCUGUUACACCCUCAUAUGACUUCGACAAUCCGAUCUAUCAUGCCGAAGAAGAAGGCGAAGAAGAUUGUGAAUUGUCGGAAGAAUUAGCCAGGUUGUUGAAACCGGAGGAGAAGGUGAUUCAACCGCGCGAGGGGCGAGUUGAAAUUGUUAAUCUGGGCACUGUUGAAAGUAUAUUUCGUGUCGGGUUUUUGUUAUCGUAUCCACAGGGAUUGUAAGAUAUCACCGCCGUUCGAUGGUUGUAUUAAUCUUAGCUCAAUGUAACAAUAGGGUUUUGGUUUUAAUCAAGUUAUCUUGCAUAAAAAGUAAUAAAUUGCGGUAAAAGUUAUGGUUUGAUUAAAUGAGAAAUAUUGUCAAAGUUAGGUUUCAAUGAUCACUUUGCAUGUAUUUGCUCGGUCAACAAUCUUAUAAACUCCUUUAGAUGAUAAAUCAUUUCACAAAGUCCUCUCAAUAUGUUUCUCUCGAACACACAUUGUGAGUUUUGCCAUUUUGAUCCAUUGUUUCUCUCGAACACAAUCUAUCAAAAUGACAACUUUUUGGUUCAACCUUAUGGUGAACAAAAUCAUUCAUUACUAUCUCUAGCUAACAAACAAGUUUGGAUGAAAACCUAGGUCAAGAGUCGGUAAACAUCUCUCGAUCAUAAACCAACACAAAGAGUUUUAAAUAGAAACAAAGUUUUCAUCAUAUAUUUACCAUUAAAGAGUUUACAUAUGAGGAUCCUUACAUUUACACACAAAGCUAGUAAUCACCUACAUCUAACCUUGACAAAUGGAUGACUUAGCUACUCAUUUUCAUGGUAGCUUGGUCGGCAAGUAAGGAAAGAAGGUUGAUCAACAUCCAAGUCGGAUAAUCGAAGUUGGAUGGGAAUCCACCUUCUUUUUGUAGAAGAUGGUUCUAAGAUGAAGAGAAAUUGAAAACUAGGGCAUAAAGAUCCCAAGAACAAUGCUGCAAAAAUAUCUAGAAGAAAGUACAAAAGUGGAAAAAGUUGGUAAAAAUGAGGUAUGGUGCUCAAAAGUGGCACCUGCUACUUAUAGACCACUGCUGGGCUGUCAUGUUCGCUAGGCGAGCAGAAUGGCUCGCCUAGCGAGGGUCUAAAAUGGGCACAAAAGGCCCCUGCGCCCAGAGAAAACAGGGCCUGCUGAACUGUCAUGUUCGCCUAGCGAACAUACCUUCGCCUAGCGAAGGACACGCUUCAACCUUCGCCCCAGCGAGGUUGAGAGGUUUUGCUACUGGAAUGCUCGCUGGGGACUCGCUAGAGCUUCGCCUAGCGAGUGAGUGCUGGCUGCGUUUUUCACCAAAACAGAAUGAACUCGCUACCACCUUCGCCUUCAGCUCGCCUAGCGAAUUAAUUUGACAAUUUACUGGAGCUUUUCGCCUGGAACUCGCCUAGCGAACCAAUGCUUCGCCACAGCCUCGCCUAGCGAGCAGGCUGAUGAAAUGCUUGUAUUCUUUGGUUCCUUUGCCAAUUUUCUUGUGUCUUCAUUUUCAAUUAGUUCAUGUCUUUCCUGCACAAUAACACACAAAUCAAAGGCACCAAGCUUGUUUAUCAAUGUAAUGCAUUCCAUGUAAAACAAAUGUGGUUUUGACAAUUUUAGCAAGGAAAAAGAGUGAAAGAUGCCCACAUAUGAUAGCUCAAAUAAGCACUUUUGGGCAUCUAACAACUCUCCCCAACUAGAUUCUUGCUUGUCCUCAAGCAAAGUAUGCCUCUUGAAGGACAAGAGGAUUUGCUUUAAGAAAAUGGUUUCUCCGAAGUUGGAUAAACGGCUCAAACACAAGCGAAAUCAGCAAAUACAAGUUCCCAACGGUUCGAAUAAAAUAAUACAUAAGAACUAAAACUUAAAUAGCAAUGCAAAAUAUUUAUCUAUCUACAACAAUACUAUUCUGAAUGAAUCAUCCUAUCUCUCCUCUUCGAAUAAGGAAUGAAGAUUUUGCGCGUUUGCAACCGCGGGACUAAUCUCACUCUCUAACAAAUAAUGAAGAAAUCAAAUAGAUUCAUACAAUGUCUAACAAUUAAAAAUGGUACUGUGGAAGCAUAAAGAUCACUAAGGGCUUUUCGGUUGAAGCUUGGUUAGGUUAACAAACAAGGGUCAUUUCUAAGGCCAUUGAAACGAAAGUGCCGAUGCAAAAGAGACAUUCACAGUAUUAUUCACACUACUCGACUUUGUUUCAUUUGUUUCUUAUUUGAAACCUUCACAACACAUAUUCCACAACUCAAUUUUUAUUUUUCACUAUUUUUCUUCCAAGCAAGCAUUCAUUUUCAUUCUUUCUAUUUUUGUUCUUUUCUUUCACAUCAAAUAUACAAAACAGAUGUUUCUUUUCUAUAUUUUCUAUACAUAUAUUUUUCUAUGCUUGCUCGGUUUUUCUUUUCUUUUUCAAGAGUUGUGGUGCUUACCAAUUCUUUUUCGUUCUCCCCAACUUAUUUCUUCCACACCCUAAGUGAAUGCUCUUACCUUUUUACGGCAAAAGAACAAUAAUCAAUAUUUUCCGGGUUGUAAAAAAAAGAUUUUUGAGAUCUCGCUUUAUUUCAAGCCGAGAUUCAACUGUUUAGGCUCAAAGGGGUUAACAAAUACUCUCUCUGCUCACAGGUAAGUUGUUUUUGGAUGUAGUUGUGCUCGAAAGAAAACAAGUGCCUUGAUCAUUUCUAAUUGCUUCCACAAUUUCACAAUAAUAACAGACAAAUAAUGAAUCACAUGAAUCAACAAAACUUAUUAGAAUCCAGCAUUUAAGUGAACAAUGGAGGUUUCCUCACACUUUGUGGUUUUAGGUUCUAGAUGAAACAUUCAUUCAAUUAUGUUGCACAAAGACAAUAUUCAAUUUACCAAAAAGAGUAAAGUUCCUAAUGCAUUCUAAAAUUCUAGCCGACGGUAACCAUGUACCUUAGCUUCAUUCACUUGUUAUUCUUAUCAUUGCCAUCCAAGCUCGGAUGCACCUUCAUUGGGUACUUCUUGAGGAGCAACCAAUCUAGAAGGGUUUGCCACUCAUUCAACCAAAAAUUUAUUAAACACACAAAAUUAACAACAAACAUAAAUAACAUUAACUGAAAAAUAAAAUUUUGUUCGUGGGGGACAAAACACCCCAAUAGUACAACCCAUGGUCAAAAUACAAAAUUCAAAAGUACAAAUAAAAAUGCCAUAAUAAAAACUGAAAUACAAAAACAAAAACUUAACCCACAAAGGGCUCAAGACUCCUCCUCACUACCGGCCUCAGAACCGGUCGCCUCAUCAUCAUCCUCAUCAUCAUCAUCAGCUCCCACCCCCUCAGAAUAGACUGGCACGUCCACGGGCCAAUUUGCAUUAGUCAGAAACUGCUCCCGUGUCAUCAAAGCAUGUGCACCACUACCCUGCAGCUGCAAACGCUGCAUCGAGUCGUGCAUGUCAAUCAUAGCCCUCUGCGAUGCUGCCAUCCACUCGAAAUUGAAUUCACACGCAGCCCGCAGGUAUGGAUCGACCCUGGGAGUAGAAGCACUAGGACCAUCAGAAACCCUAGUGCUACCUGAGGCUGCACUGCUGCCGGUGGCCUUAGCUCUGCAGUAUUUUGCCACAUACCGGUCAUCAAUAGGAGCCGGGAUCCUAACCUGACCCCGAGACGGAAGUCGCACUCGUGCCUUAAUGCACAGACUCAUAAUCAAACAAGGGAAUGCAAGGGGGCAAUUCACCCGAGCCCCCGACUUCAGUCCGCUCUCUAUUACCGUCUUCAACUCAUUGGCAAUGAUCCUCGCCACAUCAAUCUCAACAUUGGCGAGGAUGGAAUGUACUAAAUGUGCCACUGGGAUCGGCACAGUAGAUGUGUGGGAUUUGGGUUGUAUGUUGGUCAAAACCAGAAGAAGAAUCAGCUGAGCCAUGGGAGUCAUGUCCUCCCGAUGAUAUCUCAUAGGAACCCCAGAUGGGUUCGGCUCAACUGAUUUCCCUGGUAAAAGCAGGGCGGCCGUAAUUGCUGGGACAUCCUUGUGCAGCCGGAGGUCAAUAUGGUACUGGUCUCUUUGGUCAGCACCCAGCUGAAGCGGCUCCCCGAGGAUUUGGUUGAUUGUAUCCCUGUCAAAAGGAACUGGCCGACCGGCCACUCUAGAGACCCAAGUGAAGGGCUCAUCAUCAUCUGGCAAUGCGUUAGCGUAGAACUCCCGCACUGUAGCGAUGUCAUAGUGUUCCAAGGGAUUUAUCAACCUAUCCCAUUUCUUUGUAUCGAUCAACCCGGCAAAACUCCUAUACGUGCCCUGUGGGUUGAUCAGAAAACGCUUCUCAGGCAAAAUGUUUCGCUUCUCCAAAGCGAUGUACCGUGCCGCUUGUUUCGGGCCCACAAACUUGUCGUGGUCGAAUUGGAUCGGCACGGUUCGUGAAGUAGUUGCCGCUCCCUUUCUUUUCUUGCCAGCACUAGAUCUUGACUCCAUUCUGCAAAACAAGAGAUAAAGCAACAAACACGAAACAAACAGAUUAGAACCAAAACAGUUUUUAUAAGGGACUGGUUUGCUCGCUGCUGCUUCGCCUAGCGAAGUGGCAGCGAAUGCUCGCCCCAGGUUCGCCUAGCGAGUGCUAGCGAACCUUACGGGUUUUGGGGUUUUCUGCAUUUUCAAAAUUGUUUCCCCCAAAACCUGUACAUACAAGGUUUCCACAGCAAAACCCAAUGAUUUCUCAUGACUAUGAAUUGUUCUAUGCUAUUGGGGAUACCUAAUUUCAUGGAAAACCUAAGUAAGAGUAAAUCCCCAAUUUAAAAACCUAAAUGCACAACAUUGCAAACUCCCAAAAUUGCAUGCAACCUCAAGGUUCCUAUCACACCUAUCCUAUUUACCAUUCAAAUUUGGAAAUAAAUAAUGCAACAAAAGAAACAUGCAAUAGGGCAAACCUUGAGGUAAACGGAUUUGGAAAGGAGAAGUGGGAAGUGUUUGCAAUUGACCGACACACAAAUGUUGUUGAUAUGGAUGCACGGUAGAGAAUUUGAGAAGGGAAAUCGCACACUUCAGCAGAGCAGUUUAGAAGAAUUUUUAGGGUAAGGGCAAAACUGCCCUGCUGAACUGUUUAAAUAGAACAGUACUGGUGCGCUCGCUACUGCCUCGCCUAGCGAGCAGCCAGCGAGCGCGCUCGCUGCAGCCUCGCCUAGCGAGCUGCAAGCGAGCAUGACAGCAAGUGCUUUUGCAAAUGCAGCACUUGCAUGUCAUCCAGCCUGGAACAGCACCCAAUACUCAUACAACAUAAAACAUAAAACAGUAAAUACUUACAAUGUUGGGGUGCCUCCCAACUAGCGCUUGUUUAACGUCGGCUAAGCUCGACGGUGCGAUGCUCACAGAGGAGCAUCGAGCGGCUGAGCACAACUCUCGCGAUCCACAUGACCGCCGAGAUACACUUUCAAUCGUUGGCCGUUCACGGUCCAACUGUCUUUCUCGUCCAUGUCUUCAAUGAUAAUGGCCCCGUACUCUUUUACUUCUUUCACCCGAAAUGGCCCGGACCAUUUCGAUUUCAACUUCCCGGGAAACAACUUCAACCGGGAGUUGAACAAUAGGACCAAUUGUCCGGGCACAAAUUCUUUGGUACGGAUCUUCUUGUCAUGAUACUUCUUUGCUUUUUCCUUGUACAACCAACUUGAGUGGUAUGCGGCAUUGCGCAUCUCCUCCAACUCAAGUAGUUGUACUUUCCUUUUGUUACCGGCCAACUCAUGUUCAAAAUUUAAAAAUUUUAGGGCCCACAAGGCCUUGUGCUCCAAUUCAACCGGCAAAUGGCAAGUUUUACCAAAUACCAAUUGAAACGGAGUUAGGCCAAUUGGAGCUUUAAAGGCCGUACGGUAGGCCCAUAAUGCUUCGUCCAAUUUUUGGGACCACUCUUUUUUAGAAUUAGACACGGUUUUUUCUAGGAUUCUCUUAAUCUCUCGAUUAGAGACCUCCGCUUGCCCGUUAGCCUGAGGGUGGUACGGAGUUGUCACCCUAUGCGACACACCAUAAUGUUUUAGAAUUGUUUCCAAAGGUGCAUUGCAAAAGUGUGACCCUCCGUCACUUAUCAACACUCGGGGGGUUCCAAAACGGGAAAAGAUGUUUUUCUUUAAAAAUUUUAUCACCGUUUUGGCAUCCGCCCGAGGUGAGGCAAUCGCCUCAACCCACUUAGAGACAUAAUCAACAGCUACAAGCAUGUACUCAUUCCCGUAAGAGGGUGGGAAAGGUCCAACAAAAUCUAUGCCCCAACAAUCGAACACUUCCACUUCUUGGAUAUUUUGGAGAGGCAUCUCAUCUCUCUUACCUAUCCCACCACUUCUUUGGCAACUGUCACAACUUUGCGCAUGGGUAUGUGCGUCUUUGAAAAUAGUUGGCCAAUAAAAUCCCGAUUGAAGAAUUUUAGUGGCCGUUCUAACCCCAUUAUAAUGUCCGCCAUAAGGCGAGUUGUGACAAUGCCAAAGGAUGCUCUGGGCUUCAUCACCAGUUACGCAUCUCCUUAACAGGUUAUCGCUACCCAACUUAAACAAGUAUGGGUCAUCCCAAACAUAAUACUUCGCAUCCGAAAGGAACUUCCUCUUUUGGUUCGAAGUUAGGUCGGCAGGCACAAAACCACUAGCCUUGUGGUUUGCAAAGUCUGCAAACCACGGCCUAACUUGAACCUUAAACAAUUUUUCAUCAGGAAAUUCUUCCCGGAUUUCCUUUUCAGAUGCGGUAACCUCGACAUUCACUAAGCGGGAUAAAUGAUCCGCUACCAAGUUUUCCGACCCCUUCUUGUCUUUGAUUUCGACAUCGAAUUCUUGUAACAAGAGGAUCCAACGGAUGAGCCUUUGCUUCGAAUCCGGCUUGGUUAGCAGAUAUUUAAUCGCCGCGUGGUCGGUAUACACAACGACUUUAGACCCUAUAAGAUAAGACCUAAACUUUUCUAGCGCAUACACUAUUGCGAGUAGUUCUUUUUCCGUUGUGGCAUAAUUUAUUUGAGCCUCGUUAAGAACCUUACUCGCAUAAUGUAUCGCAUGAAAAGUUUUGUCUUUUCUUUGGCCAAGUACCGCUCCAACAGCAUAGUCACUCGCGUCACACAUUAGUUCAAAAUUUUCAUUCCAAUCGGGAGCGACUAUUAUUGGAGCGGUAACCAAUUUUUCUUUUAAAACCUCAAAAGCUUGCAAACAAUCUUCGGUGAAGAGAAAUACCUGGUCCUUGGCGAGCAAAUUGCUCAAAGGCUUAGCCACCUUUGAGAAGUCCUUGAUGAAGCGCCGGUAGAACCCCGCGUGCCCCAAAAAGCUACGGAUGCCCUUCACAUUCACCGGAGGGGGUAAUUUUUCAAUUACUUCAACCUUAGCUCUAUCCACUUCAAGCCCCCUUUUAGAGACUUUGUGGCCUAGCACGAUCCCCUCGGUCACCAUGAAGUGACACUUUUCCCAAUUUAGCACCAAAUUGGUCUUCACACACCUUUCCAACACCGUCUUCAAAUUUGCCAAGCAUAGACUAAACGUCCCACCAAAUACCGAGAAGUCAUCCAUGAAGACUUCCAUUGUUUUCUCUAUCAGAUCGGCAAAAAUGGCUUGGACACAUCGUUGGAAGGUCGCCGGUGCAUUGCACAGCCCAAAGGGCAUUUUUCUGUAUGCGAACACUCCAAACGGACACGUGAAAGCCGUCUUCUCAUGAUCAACCGGGUCAACCGCAAUUUGGUUGUACCCGGAGUAGCCGUCCAAAAAACAAUAGUAUUGUUGGCCCGAUAGUCUUUCAAGCAUUUGAUCCAUAAAUGGGAGUGGAAAAUGGUCCUUACGAGUCGCGGUAUUCAACCGUCUAUAAUCUAUACACAUUCUCCACCCCGUUGCAACUUUGGUCGGGAUCAAUUCGUCUUUGUCAUUUCGGAUUACGGUCAUUCCACCCUUCUUCGGAACCACGUGCACGGGACUAACCCACGGACUAUCCGAGAUCGGGUAAAUCAUUCCCGCAUCCAAUAGCUUCACCACUUCCUUUCUUACAACCUCCUUCAUCGUAGGAUUUAAGCGGCGUUGUGGUUGAGCCACCGGCUUAAAAUCCUCCUCCAUCAAAAUCUUGUGCAUACAAUAGGAUGGACUAAUUCCUUUUAGAUCGGAAAGAGUCCAACCCAUAGCUUCUUGAUUGGUUUUUAGCACAAUGAUUAGACGGGCUUCUUCUUCUUUUGUCAAAAGGUUGCUUAUGAUGACCGGCUUUGCCUCGGUCUCAUCUAGAAACACAUAUUUCAAAGUCGAAGGUAACUCUUUUAAUUCAAUUGGCGCUUUCUCGUCAAUGACCUCCUUCUUCAAGUUUUCUUCCUCUACUUCCCACGGUUGUAGGUCUUCCAAACUAUCAAGUUCCUUUAAGCAUUCCUCAAGAGCUAGCUCCUCUUCAACAGUGAAAACCUCCAAUGAGUCGUCAAGAGCUAACUCCAUAGGAGAUAUCUCAUGAAUAUGCUUUGAAACUUCCAUAAUAGCGUCUUCGAUCACAUCGAUGCGAAAGCUAUCAUUUCUAUCCUUGGAAUGCUUCAUCGCCUCGAAUAGAUCAAAUGUGACUUCCUCAUUUUGAACUCGCACCUUCAUUAAACCGUCAUCAACAUCUAUCAUCAUUCUUGCGGUCUUCAUGAAUGGUCGGCCCAAGAUGAGCGGAGCAUCAUCAUCUUCCUCCAUAUCAAUAACAAUAAAAUCCACCGGGAAAAAGAAUUUGUCGACCUUCACCAAAACAUCUUGGGCUACGCCAUGAGGAUGGGUCGUCGACUUAUCCGCCAAUUGCAACGUCAUUCGGAUGGACUUAAUCUCGAUGUUGCCAAGCCUCUUGAUAAUUGACAAAGGUAUAAGAUUAAUGCUCGACCCCAAGUCAAUAAGUCCCUUCCCGACAUAAACGUCACCAAUUUUAACCGGCAAUGUAACUCUUCCCGGAUCAACCUCUUUCUUAGGAAGCGUCCUUUGAAUAAUGGCACUACAGCUCGCAUCAAGGACGAUGGUCUCCGGUUCCGUAUACCUCCGCUUUUUGGUUAGUAUGUCCUUCAUGAAUUUGGCAUACUUGGGCAUUUGUUCCAAGGCUUCGGCAAACGGAAUGUUGAUUUGCAACUGUUUAAAAAUAUCCAUGAACCGGGCGUAAUGCCGUUCAUUCUCCCUUUUGGAAGGAGCAUGAGGAUAAGGAAGAUUUUGGACCGGAGUAGCGCUCACUACCUCCUUUCCCUUUGCAAUUCUAGCACUUUUCCAUCUAGGCUUCUUCACUACCUCCCUUAUUACCUCAUCACUUUUAUUUUCCUCAAUCUCCACACCUUUUUCUUUUUCAACUUCACCAUUAUUUUUAUUCUUUUCAACUACUUCCUCAUCACUCCACACUCCUAUUUCACCAUCAACAUUUUCCUCCACUAUUUCCUCCUCAAUUUCUUUCUCUUUCUCUCUUUGUUCACUCUCAACUCUUUUUUCAUUCUCACUACCCAACUCCCUCCCACUUCUCGUCAUAAUCGCCUUACAAUGCUCCUUAGGAUUUGUUUGCGUAUUAGCCGAAAAAGAAGGACCGGUUUGUUGUUCAGCGAGUUGCUUGGCAAGUUGCCCAACUUGAGUUUCAAGAUUUUUUAUGGCCGCGUCAUUACUCUUUUGAUUGGCCAUUGACAUUUGCAUGAAUUGCGUCAAUGUCUCUUCCAAUUUAGAAUUGACGACCGGCGGUUGUUGAGAUUGAUACGGAUUUUGGGGAGGGUUUUGACGGCUAGAAGAACCACCUCCAUAACCUUGGUUAUGAUAAUAGUUGCUUCUAGGUUGGAACCCUUGGUUCCCUUGGAAUUGUUGUUGUUGUUGUUGUUGUUGAGGGUGCGGUUGAUAAGGUUGUUGUUGUCUCGGUUGAUAGUCCCGUUGAUUGGCCAUGUAGUUUACUUCGUCAAAACCGGGAGGUGGACAAAAUCCGGUGUCAUGUUCACCUUUACAAAGUUCACAACAAGCUAUUUGUUUAGCUUUUGACGGUUCUCUUAACUCUUUGAUUUGUUGCGUUAAGAGUUCCACUUGUUGUGAGAUGAGCUUGUUUUGGGCAAGGAUGGCAUCAUUCGUCCCUAACUCAAGCACUCCCGCCUUCUUCAAAGAAUUUCCACGACUUUGACUCUGAAGAUCAUUUAGAGCCAUUCGAUUGAUAAUGUUUGUGGCUUCUUCGGCACUUUUUGACAUCAACGAGCCACCCGAGGUGGCAUCCAACAACGUCUUGCAGUUUGGUUGAAGUCCAUUUCUGAAGAUAUGGAUUUGAGUCAAUUCAUCAAAUCCAUGCCCUUUACAUUUCCUAAGCAUGGACUUGAAUCUCUCCCACGCUUCAUUUAAAGAUUCACUGGUUCCUUGAGAAAACACCGAGAUGGCCGUCUUUGAUUCCAUGAAUCGGUUAUGGGAGAAAAAUCUUUCAAUGAAUUUCUCUUCUAACACGUUCCAGUCUGUCAUUACGGCUGGUGUUUGAUCGAGAUACCAAUCCUUUGCUUUACCGAGCAAAGCGUGAGGAAAUAAACGUCUGAACAACGGAAGCUCCUGAGCCUGAUCCACUCCGGCAGCCAAUGCUAUCUCAUAAAAUUUUGUGAGAAAAGCAAAUGGGUCUUCAUGGUCCAUUCCGGUGAAUGGACUCCCAUAUAAUAAAUUCAGAGUUCCCGUCUUCAUCUCAGCUUGCCUUCCUGUGUGGUUGGCAAACUGAGCGGUGUUCCUUGGACUAUUGAUACAUGGAGUAGAAAUAGGUGGUGGUGGUUGUGGCUCCAUGUUUGGUAUGAAUGGGUGUGGAUUUGUGGUUGAAGAACUUUCUCCUUGCUCUUGGCGUUGUCUAGCCUGUUGCCUCCUACGUCUCGUUUUGCUAUUGAGCCUCCUUGCGGUUCUCUCGAUCUCAGGAUCAAAAAGAAGUUCGUCCACAGGGAUUUGCCCUCGCAUAAAACGUAAGCUGCACACUAAACCAAACAAAUUACAAGCACAAGUCAAAAAUUCACAAGCUAAAACUUAAACAACCAUUGCGAUGCUCGCAAUAUCAAUUUACAAUCCCCGGCAACGGCGCCAUUUUGUUGAAAGUAUAUUUCGUGUCGGGUUUUUGUUAUCGUAUCCACAGGGAUUGUAAGAUAUCACCGCCGUUCGAUGGUUGUAUUAAUCUUAGCUCAAUGUAACAAUAGGGUUUUGGUUUUAAUCAAGUUAUCUUGCAUAAAAAGUAAUAAAUUGCGGUAAAAGUUAUGGUUUGAUUAAAUGAGAAAUAUUGUCAAAGUUAGGUUUCAAUGAUCACUUUGCAUGUAUUUGCUCGGUCAACAAUCUUAUAAACUCCUUUAGAUGAUAAAUCAUUUCACAAAGUCCUCUCAAUAUGUUUCUCUCGAACACACAUUGUGAGUUUUGCCAUUUUGAUCCAUUGUUUCUCUCGAACACAAUCUAUCAAAAUGACAACUUUUUGGUUCAACCUUAUGGUGAACAAAAUCAUUCGUUACUAUCUCUAGCUAACAAACAAGUUUGGAUGAAAACCUAGGUCAAGAGUCGGUAAACAUCUCUCGAUCAUAAACCAACACAAAGAGUUUUAAAUAGAAACAAAGUUUUCAUCAUAUAUUUACCAUUAAAGAGUUUACAUAUGAGGAUCCUUACAUUUACACACAAAGCUAGUAAUCACCUACAUCUAACCUUGACAAAUGGAUGACUUAGCUACUCAUUUUCAUGGUAGCUUGGUCGGCAAGUAAGGAAAGAAGGUUGAUCAACAUCCAAGUCGGAUAAUCGAAGUUGGAUGGGAAUCCACCUUCUUUUUGUAGAAGAUGGUUCUAAGAUGAAGAAAAAAUGAAAACUAGGGCAUAAAGAUCCCAAGAACAAUGCUGCAAAAAUAUCUAGAAGAAAGUACAAAAGUGGAAAAAGUUGGUAAAAAUGAGGUAUGGUGCUCAAAAGUGGCACCUGCUACUUAUAGACCACUGCUGGGCUGUCAUGUUCGCUAGGCGAGCAGAAUGGCUCGCCUAGCGAGGGUCUAAAAUGGGCACAAAAGGCCCCUGCGCCCAGAGAAAACAGGGCCUGCUGAACUGUCAUGUUCGCCUAGCGAACAUACCUUCGCCUAGCGAAGGACACGCUUCAACCUUCGCCCCAGCGAGGUUGAGAGGUUUUGCUACUGGAAUGCUCGCUGGGGACUCGCUAGAGCUUCGCCUAGCGAGUGAGUGCUGGCUGCGUUUUUCACCAAAACAGAAUGAACUCGCUACCACCUUCGCCUUCAGCUCGCCUAGCGAAUUAAUUUGACAAUUUACUGGAGCUUUUCGCCUGGAACUCGCCUAGCGAACCAAUGCUUCGCCACAGCCUCGCCUAGCGAGCAGGCUGAUGAAAUGCUUGUAUUCUUUGGUUCCUUUGCCAAUUUUCUUGUGUCUUCAUUUUCAAUUAGUUCAUGUCUUUCCUGCACAAUAACACACAAAUCAAAGGCACCAAGCUUGUUUAUCAAUGUAAUGCAUUCCAUGUAAAACAAAUGUGGUUUUGACAAUUUUAGCAAGGAAAAAGAGUGAAAGAUGCCCACAUAUGAUAGCUCAAAUAAGCACUUUUGGGCAUCUAACAGGCACCGAGGAGGUCUGACGGGAAGUGAAGGUUGGGGCCGCCUCGGAGGCGAGCGUCAAGAGCGGAGGUGAUGCCAUUCGGUCUCAAGAACGCCGGUGCCACGUAUCAGAGGGUCAUGGUAACUUUGUUUCAUGAUAUGAUUCAUCAUGAAAUUGAAUGCUAUGUUGAUGACAUGAUAGCAAAGUCCCAAACAAAGGAGGGGCAUCUGGUAGAUCUGGCCAAGUUGUUUGACCGAUUGAGACGAUUCAGACUGAGGUUGAAUCCGAAUAAGUGCACUUUUGGAGUGCGGUCCGGUAAAUUGCUGGGGUUUAUUGUGAGCGAAAGAGGAAUCGAGGUUGAUCCUGCUAAAGUAAAAGCAAUACAAGAAAUGCCUAAACCGAGAACGGAAAAGGAGGUUCGUGGUUUCUUAGGUAGAUUGAACUACAUUUCACGGUUCAUAUCUCAUCUAACAGCCACGUGUGAACCUAUAUUCAAGUUAUUGAGAAAAGAUCAAACGGUCAGAUGGAAUAAUGAUUGCCAAGCGGCAUUUGAAAAGAUAAAAGAGUAUUUGCAGGAGCCUCCGAUUCUGAUGCCUCCUGUGGAGGGACGACCGUAAGAUCAAACGGUCAGAUGGAAUAAUGAUUGCCAAGCGGCAUUUGAAAAGAUAAAAGAGUAUUUGCAGGAGCCUCCGAUUCUGAUGCCUCCUGUGGAGGGACGACCGUUAAUUCUGUACUUGACAGUCAUCGAGGGGUCUAUGGGGUGUGUAUUGGGGCAGCAUGACGAGUCUGGUCGAAAAGAGCAUGCGAUUUACUACCUUAGCAAAAAGUUUACCGACUGUGAAACAAGAUAUUCACUGCUCGAGAAAACUUAUUGUGCUUUGGUAUGGGCUGCUCGCCGACUGAGACAGUAUAUGCUGGUUCAUACCACUUUGUUGAUUUCCAAGAUGGAUCCGAUCAAGUAUAUAUUUGAAAAGCCAGCAUUGACCGGACGGGUUGCGAGAUGGAAAAUGAUUUUGACUGAAUAUGAUAUACAGUAUACCUCUCAGAAAGCGAUCAAGGGGAGUGUAUUGUCUGAUUACCUCGCCCAGCAACCCAUUGAGGAUUAUCAACCGAUGAAGUUUGAGUUCCCUGAUGAGGACAUCAUGUUUCUCAAAUCGAAAGAUUGNNNNNNNNNNNNNNNNNNNNNNNNNNNNNNNNNNNNNNNNNNNNNNNNNNNNNNNNNNNNNNNNNNNNNNNNNNNNNNNNNNNNNNNNNNNNNNNNNNNNNNNNNNNNNNNNNNNNNNNNNNNNNNNNNNNNNNNNNNNNNNNNNNNNNNNNNNNNNNNNNNNNNNNNNNNNNNNNNNNNNNNNNNNNNNNNNNNNNNNNNNNNNNNNNNNNNNNNNNNNNNNNNNNNNNNNNNNNNNNNNNNNNNNNNNNNNNNNNNNNNNNNNNNNNNNNNNNNNNNNNNNNNNNNNNNNNNNNNNNNNNNNNNNNNNNNNNNNNNNNNNNNNNNNNNNNNNNNNNNNNNNNNNNNNNNNNNNNNNNNNNNNNNNNNNNNNNNNNNNNNNNNNNNNNNNNNNNNNNNNNNNNNNNNNNNNNNNNNNNNNNNNNNNNNNNNNNNNNNNNNNNNNNNNNNNNNNNNNNNNNNNNNNNNNNNNNNNNNNNNNNNNNNNNNNNNNNNNNNNNNNNNNNNNNNNNNNNNNNNNNNNNNNNNNNNNNNNNNNNNNNNNNNNNNNNNNNNNNNNNNNNNNNNNNNNNNNNNNNNNNNNNNNNNNNNNNNNNNNNNNNNNNNNNNNNNNNNNNNNNNNNNNNNNNNNNNNNNNNNNNNNNNNNNNNNNNNNNNNNNNNNNNNNNNNNNNNNNNNNNNNNNNNNNNNNNNNNNNNNNNNNNNNNNNNNNNNNNNNNNNNNNNNNNNNNNNNNNNNNNNNNNNNNNNNNNNNNNNNNNNNNNNNNNNNNNNNNNNNNNNNNNNNNNNNNNNNNNNNNNNNNNNNNNNNNNNNNNNNNNNNNNNNNNNNNNNNNNNNNNNNNNNNNNNNNNNNNNNNNNNNNNNNNNNNNNNNNNNNNNNNNNNNNNNNNNNNNNNNNNNNNNNNNNNNNNNNNNNNNNNNNNNNNNNNNNNNNNNNNNNNNNNNNNNNNNNNNNNNNNNNNNNNNNNNNNNNNNNNNNNNNNNNNNNNNNNNNNNNNNNNNNNNNNNNNNNNNNNNNNNNNNNNNNNNNNNNNNNNNNNNNNNNNNNNNNNNNNNNNNNNNNNNNNNNNNNNNNNNNNNNNNNNNNNNNNNNNNNNNNNNNNNNNNNNNNNNNNNNNNNNNNNNNNNNNNNNNNNNNNNNNNNNNNNNNNNNNNNNNNNNNNNNNNNNNNNNNNNNNNNNNNNNNNNNNNNNNNNNNNNNNNNNNNNNNNNNNNNNNNNNNNNNNNNNNNNNNNNNNNNNNNNNNNNNNNNNNNNNNNNNNNNNNNNNNNNNNNNNNNNNNNNNNNNNNNNNNNNNNNNNNNNNNNNNNNNNNNNNNNNNNNNNNNNNNNNNNNNNNNNNNNNNNNNNNNNNNNNNNNNNNNNNNNNNNCAUUGAAGAAUUUGAGGUCAGAUGGAAAGUUUCCAAAAAUAGUAAGUGACCUGUAAUUUCAAACUGCCAAAAAUGGAAAGGUCUUCUCCUCAAGUUUACAUCAUCAAGAAAGCUUCAAAUGAAAUUUUGUUCAACAUGAAAGUUGAAUAUCUUGCUCUCACCUUUCCAAAAAGUCGAAGAACAUGAAUUUCUCAUUUGUGGUUGAGAAGUUAUGGAUCAAUCAUUGCCAAGUAAAUUUGAACUUCAAGCUUGCAUAACUUUUGCACCAAAUGGCCAAAUGAAGUGGUUCUUUUUGGAACAUUUCCAUCUUGACAUGCUCUAUCAUAAUCAUGCAUUACAUUUCAUCAACUCUCAUCACAAAAAUAUUGGAUUUUUCACUUGAUUUCAUUUGAAUUUUUGGAGGGAAAGUAUCAAUUUGAAAAUUGUGCAUUAUUUUCAUUUCCAACCAAUCACAUUUGCUUCAAAACAGAUUUUGAAAUGCAUUUCCAAGCUAGCUCGAGUACUGUUCCAUUGCCUUGCAUUGCAUAAGGGUGGUUUUGCCAUUUUGCAUAAACAUGCCAAUUUCACUAAUCACUUGAAUUAUGGCUAAACAUGAUUAGUGAACAUGAUUAACAGAUGGUAUAUAACCCUAAUCAUAACAGAAAAUCAACAACAACUUCAUAAUUUCAGAUCUGAAAAAUUUCACUUCAAUUUUCUCUCAACUUUUUCUUCGAUUUUCUUCACAAGCAUUGGCUAGUUCUUGGUUUGUUCAUCAUCUGCAAGCAUUAUUGAAGUGGAUUGAAGCAAGAUCCUGCAGAAUCCUUCAAGAAUCGUGGACUGUGGAAGCUUAUGCAUAACCAUGGCAAUUGAAGUUUCAAGAGAAAUCACGCAUUGUUGAGCUGUUCUUCAUCAUCCAUUCAUCUAUCCAAGCAGUGUAGAGCAUCUGUUUCGCAUUUCCAGGCCUUGAAUCAAGCAAAUUAACUUCUGCAUCUUCAUUGAGGUUAGAUUUCGAAUGCUCCAAUUCUUGAAAUAAUCAUGUGUUUAUGGUAGAUCUUGCAUCACUGGUUAUGCUGAGCUUUGGAUCUCUUGAUUUCAUGCAAUAUUGAAGUAGUUAUGAUGAUUUGAAUUUUGACAUGUGGAACUUCUUUUGCUCGAUCCAUGCGUAUUAUGUAGAAUUAGGUCAAAUUAAUGUUGGAUUGAUGAUGUAUGUUGAAGGAUGAAUCGAUUGAUAUAUGUUUGGUGAAUUUCUGUGAUGAUUUGUUCUUGGCCUUGAUGAACACGAUGAAUGUGUUUGAAUGUUCUAGGUUUUCUGUUUCCAGAAAUGCUUUGAUCUUGCCUGGCCGAGUUUGCAUGUGUUUUGUUGUUUUUCGCUCAUGUAUUGGUCCAAAUGCCGGCUUCUGAUUGGCCAGCGUUUCAAUUAAAUGAAACGCGGCGUUUAACAUGGCACCACAAUUCAAAUGUUCAUGUGGUUCGAUUCCCCGCUUCAUCAAAAUCCAAAAUGCCUUGUAUAUUUUAUCCAUUUAUGCUAUCCAUGUUCAUGCUAGAAGUAAGUACUAAAAAUUAAAAAAAAGAACAUUCAAAAAUCCAUAACUCCAUGAAUAAUCAUCCAAAUCACAUGAGAUUUUUUGCACAAUGUUCUUCAUGAUGUCUACUAUUUUUUGAUGAUUUUUCCAGAAUUUGUGCUCGGUUGGAUUUUAAAUUUGCCUAGGGAUUGUUCAUGCAUAUGCCAUCUUGUAUCUUGCUUGCUAUUUUCUUUGUGAAAUGAUGAUGGUUAAUCCAAUGAAUGUGAAAAUUGACAUGAUUAAACUAGACAACCUAAUGGUCAUUUUGGUAUAGAGUUUGCAUUUUUCUCAUUUAUGGUUGUUGAGAUAUGAUCUGAUUAAUGUAGGUGUGACAAUGUGUGUCACACCUUGGCUUACUUGACUUUCUGAUUUUAUUUACCAUGCCCAUUAAAUGCCAAAUGAUGUGAAUUUUUGCAUGAUGCUCCUUCUGGAUGUUAAGAUUGAUCAUGAAUUUUUGUAGAAUUUUUAGAUCUAUUUCUGAUUUGUUUGGGAUUUUCUUUUCUGGUUAGUCAUGUUUGGACUUUUGAUGAGUGUUGAACUUAGAUGAUUUGUGAAAUGCUUGAUGUUUAUCAUAUAACCUUGAAAUUUUACACAUGUUUUCUAGACACAUUGAAGUUUGUCUUGGCUUUGGUUUGAGUCAUUUAUCGCUUGUCAUUUAUGUUUUAGGAUUGCCUUAAACAGAUGUAUCAAUUUGUGCCUCCUUUGAGCUUGUUAAUGCUUACCUUGACUUGAUGAAUUUCUUUGACUUGCUUAUACUUGACCAAAUGACAUGACUUUUGGUGUGUUGAUCAUUUGAUGUGUGUUGUUUAGUCAUGAUUUUGCUUGAGAUUUAUUGAGCCAUUCUGGAAUUAAUAUGCCUUGGUUCAUUCUGUUGCUUCUAUGUGGUUUCAACUUGCCUAUCUUGACAUGUUUUGAUUAUGAAAUUCUUUUGGUAAUUGAUAUUGGCAUGAGACCUUUUGGAAUAGUUUCUUAUUUGAUUGAACUUGUUUCUUGUCAAUUUUCAUGUUCUGUUUUGAAUUAUUUCUCCCCCUUUGACCCUAGGCUUUGUCCUGGUGGUUUGCCUCUCAUGUUUGAAGCUUUGUUUCAGGUUGUACAUGCAAGUUAUACAAUUGAUGAUGCCACAUCUUGAGAGCAUUUGAUAUUUGCUUUUGAUUACUAAUGUGUGUUUUGUAGGUUGAUGUUGAUUCAAUUGGGAUUGACUUGUGGCUUAUGCCUUUGCCUAUAUUGGUUGUCUGUUGCAUUAACUAUUGGUUGUUUAUCUGAGUUGUAUACUGAUUUGUUUGAUGUUUCCACAGGUACAUUAGUUGCUUAAGUUCAUUUUGAACUUGCUUGGUUGCUUAACCAAUUAGGUAUAACAUCUCUUCUUCAUGUAGCCUGGAAGACCUGGCCUGUUACUUGGCCAGGCACCUGUCUGAAGUCCUCCUUAAGAGGCAAUGUUUGUGAUUGUUUAUCUUUGUCCCCAAGCAGGAAAAGUCCUUUUGAUAAGGCAAUUGGUAGAUAAAAGAGAUGUGUAGUCCAUCUCCUACUAUUCUGUGUGUCAUCCCUUUGCUCACAUUACAUGUUGUAGCAUUGUGGAUCUUAACCCAAGAUCUAUAGAGUCAUUAACUUGUGGAGAGAGUUCCAACUUUCUGAACUCCCACACCUUCUAUCAUUUGAAGCUCUCCCUGACCAGGGAUAAGAGCCAUGAGGCACACCCCUCAUAUCCUUUCAUCUGCUUCACCUUAACUCUCAAUGUUAAGGUUAAGAGCACCACUUACCCCAUUCCAGUUGACUUUAAAGUCUAACCCUUGCUUGAGCCUAAUUGCUUGUAUAUAGUGUGUGCUAACUGAAUCAUUGAUUGCUUAUUGGUUCAUCUGUACAUGUUUGCUUGUUUGCCUUUGUGCAUUUAUCAUCAUUAAUUGUUCAUUAUUGCAUGAUCAUCAUUUCAUAUCUUUGUGACACAUCUUUGUUUGUCCAUUGAGGAAUCAACUGUAAGUCCAUUCAUUGGCCAUUGUUCCUAUGAUUUGGAAGGGAUUGAGUGUAAGACCAUUUCAUUGGCCACUUAUGUCCUCUUUGCUUAGUGCUUUUGUUUGUUUGUUGUAUGUGAGGAUUCAAUUGUAAGUCCAUGUUGUUGGCAUUUGUUUUCCCAUGAUCAUCUGUUGGAGAUUAGAGUAAGCCCAGAUAGAUUGGCAUCUGACAUCCAUGUUUUGUUUUGUUUUAGGAGAUUGGAAUAAGUCCAUUUAUUGGCAUCCGAUAUCCAUGUUUUGUUUUGCUUUAGGAGAUUGGUAUAAGUCCAUUUAUUGGCAUCUGAUAUCCUUGUUUGUUUUAGGAGAUUGGUGUAAAUCCAUUGAUUGGUAUCCGGUAUCCACCUUUGUUUGUGAGAUUGGUGUAAGUCCAGCAAUUGGCAUCCGGUAUCAUUUGUUUUGCUUAUUUGUUAUUGCUCAUUUGCCUAUUCCUAAGGACACACUUGAAUCAUCUUCCAUAUGAUUUCAAGAGGUGAACAUCUGAGAAGUUUUACACUCCCUCACCCUCCAUCCUUUUGUUUCUUUUAAACCUCUUUGCACUUGUUGGCUUUCAAAACUUGAAAAUAUUAUUGUGCAAACUUUUCACCGGUUUUCAAAUUAGAAACCUGGGCCUUAAGCCCUUGAUUUUAAAACUCAUUUUCAUAAUACUUCUUUGAAUUGAAUUUUAAUCAUACUUUGACCAUAUUUUGUGAAUAUUCAUAAUCAAUUAACUUCACCCAUUCAAUUGUUUUGUGGCUUUGUCCAUUGUUGAUAUGUUUUCAUACAUUAGCCAUAGGUUUCAAUUACCAUAGUGGUUGAUGUAAAUCUUACCUUAUCCUUAGUGAGUUGAUUGUAAGUCUUCCAUACUUAUUAUAGGGUUAACCCCUCACUAGUAUGUUGAAGCUGUCCUCGCAUGGUGGAUUGUUGAUUCAGGUUGAGUUUUCUCCCAUUGGUAAUGAAAAGCCUUAGUGCUUGUGUUUUAAAAUGAACUCACUAAUUUUUGGAAAUCUUUUAGCCGAACUACGGCGUUUUGAUCCUUACCUUUGAUGGAAGGUACGUAGGCAACGGGUUCAUCCGUUCAAACACAAAAAUAAUUAAAUUGUACAUUCUUUUCUCAUCAUCCCAUUCAUGUUUGCACAAUAUGUCAAAACAAAUAAACAUUUUUUAUACAACAAGUGUGAAAAGGGCUCCCUAGGAGUACCUAGGACGUGAUGGGUGCCUAACACCUUCCCAUUGCGUAAUUUACCCCUUACCCAGACUCUCUGAUCUUUUUAUUAGUUUUCUACGUGUAAAACUUCUUAGGCUUUUGUUCGCUUUUUAGCCAGUCCUUUGGAUAAAUAAAAGUGCGGUGGCGACUCGAAUUUUUUUGUAUGCUUUGCUUAUGGUUUAAUCAAUAAAUCAUAUAGCGACGAAUACACCGCUACAGAAAAGUGGCGACUCUGCUGGGGAAAACAUUAGACCUUCCCUGGUGGUAUUGCCUACUUUUCACCCUUGUUGUGUGAUAUUUGUUUAUGUGUUAUUUGACAUAUUUUUGUACAAUUUGGGAUAACUGUAUUGAUUGUAAUGUUUGAAUUGCUUGAUAUACAAUUGCUGUUUGCUUUGGUGAUCUGUGAGAUGAGUUCUAUACCCGAACUCGAGUGCACUCUAGGAUAGGAGAAUGGCAUAGUCUUGUUGACUGGUGUGGAGUAUUCCUUAGCCAGUUGACUUGCGAGUCCAUUCACUUGGUGGAGGUCAUGUUGGAUUAAUAAUGUCACACAAGUUAUUUGUGGUUAGGCAUUAUUCUUUCAAUCAUGUGCCUUAGAAGCCAAGGACCUUAGUUUACCAAGCCCAUCUUGGCCUAUUUUUAGGACGUAGUGCGGAGGUCGUUCAGAUGUAAGAUCUGAUGCGAUUGUUACGCGAUACUACACUCAUAAGAGUCUCUCUUGAGAAUAUUUUUGGAAUACGAGUAUUCGUUCCUCCGAUAAUAUCCGAAAGAUGGGACGAUGAUUAUGGGAACCUCUGGUAGAACAUGUCUGGCAGGUUUAAACCCUAGUACACUCCCUUUGGGUGGUUCUUAACCGAGACUCCAUGCUCGUGACUCUCAGCAAACCCGUGAUUCGUGGUUGAGUCGUUCAGAUAUCCUUAAUAUCAAUGGAACUUGGGCGUUGAUAAGGUAUAAACCAUAAUCCGCCAAAAUGGAUGGUUGAUAUUAAGGAUGAUUGAGCCGGUUCAUGUACCGUUAAUAUCAAUGGAACUUGGGUGUUGAUAAGGUGAAAACCAUAAUCCACCAAAAUGGAUGAUUGAUAUUAGGGGAACAAUGAGCUUUCCCAUGACCUUUGUUUGGUGUGCCUUGCUUGAUCCUUGAGUGUGGUUGUUGCAUUCAUGCAUUCAUGCAUUCAUCUGCAUCCAUAUCAUCAAAAAAUGAGAAUUUUUUUUUUCAAAGAACUUAAGGGGUUUCUUUGCAAAAAUUUUCAGAUAUGGAAAGACAAAGAAUUAUUCAAGGAAAUAUUUCCAUAUGCAAUAAAAUUUCAAAGUUUGCAAAUAAAACCCUCGAGUUCCUUUGAAAUAAAAACAAAGCAUAUGCACAAACACUUCAUGCAUCAUUUGCAUAAGCGGGUGUUGUUCUCAGCCUUUGGUCAUGUGGUCUGAUCCCCGUGCUCUUCAUUUAUUUUGAAGACGCACCUCGCCGGUACUACACCAGAGCCGAUUCUUCGAGAUUGAUGGAUCAUCUUGAGCAAGGGAAUUGUGAACUCAAGGAGGAAUUUGCCAGACAGAGUGCUUUUGAUGGAUUUAUUCCUGGUUAGCCACUUGUCUUCUUUCUCGUAUAUUGAUGCCGAGGAUGAAGUUGGAACUCCUUUCCAAGCUUUAUCUAUUGAUGAAACAAUUGAGAAGAAGUCUCCUUCAUUUGCUUCCUACCGUGAUGCGAAACUGGCCAUUAAGUGUGGUGCAAUUGCUGGUUUGGGGAAGAUGAUUGAGCUUGAAGACAAUAGAUCUCGGGCUGGCAUUGGCUACUGUUCUGGGGCAUUCAAUGAGCAUGGGCUGGUCAAGAGUGGAGGCUUCAUCCAUGCUGAUCAACCUGAGGAGGCUGCUUCUAUUCUGGAAGAGGAUGCAGAGGAUCUGAGCAACUUCAUCAUACCUGGUGGUGUCUGCCAUAAUUGGGUCGCUGUAGAUGUUCCUACAGUCAUCCAUAGAUCAGAGUAAUUGUUCACUUUGUUCAAAACCCUUCUCCCAUGCCAAAAGGAGAAGUGAUGACAUUGUUGGCAGCAUUUAUACAAUGAUAUUUUCAUUCAAUUAAUGCAUUGUUAAACAUUUGUUUUUCCAUUUGUUUUCACUUUUUGCUUUUGCAUGAAAUCAGUGAUCACAAAAAACCCCAAAAAAAAAGCAUAAAAUCAAACUUUUCAUCUGCAUAAUGAUUGCCUUGUUUGAUUUCAAAAAGCUUUUCUUUAUCCAAAAUCAUUAUGCAGGGAUUUCUAAACCCAUUGAACAUAAUGAUCCAACACCAUCUCCCAAUCUUGAAUUCCUUGUAUUUGAGGCAGAGGAAGAUGAUGUUGAAGGGGAUUCCUGAUGAGAUUACCCGCCUUCUUGAGUAUGAAAAGAAGAUCAUUCAGCUGUAUCUUGAGAAUCAGCAGAACAGUUAAACUGGGGCAUUACAAAUGUAAUAAAAAAAAAGAGGGUGAAAAACAGAAAAAAAAAUCAAAAGACAAAAAGUCAGGAUUUUUUUUUAAAGAAUGAAAAAAGUACACCCUCAAGCCCAAGUUGACUGAUGCUGAAUGGAUUCAGAGUCGUUACGACCAGUUGAAUUUGAUCGAAGAGAAGCGAUUGACUGCCAUGUGCCAUGGUCAGUUAUAUCAGCAGAGAAUGAAGAAAGCAUUCGAUAAGAAGGUCAAGCCUCGUGUGUUCCGAGAAGGUGACCUCGUGCUCAAGAAAGUCUUGUCUUUCGCGCCCGAUUCCAGGGGCAAGUGGACUCCAAACUAUGAAGGUCCAUAUGUUGUUAAGAGAGCCUUUUCAGGCGGUGCUUUGAUGCUUACAACUAUGGAUGGGGAGGAUUUCACUCGUCCUGUGAAUUCAGAUGCAGUCAAGAAAUACUUUGCCUAAAAAAAAAAAAAGGUAUAUGCAAAUGAAAAAAAAAAGAAUAGCUCGCUAAGUUGAAAACCCGAAAGGGCGGCUUAGGCAAAAAUGAGCGUCUCGGUGGAGAACCCGCAAGGGUAAUCCAGGCAAAAAUUAGAGACUUGAAAAAAAAGAUAUAUUUGCAUCCCGCUAGAUUGAGUACCUCACCCUGGGGCAAUCUAGGCAAAAAUUAGGGAUUUGGCAAGUAACUGCAUCCUGACAAGACUUUCUGUUCCACAGCUGUCAUUUCGUCAGAAGAUUCUCGAUUCGUCGUCAAACUGAAGCUUCGAAUACAUCGAGAUUCAAAUUGGUAGAGAAAGGAUCAUUAUGUUCAAUGUAGCCCUCUUCCAAUAUAUAUCACUGAUUUCAAAUUUGUACAGAUCUAUGGAGUCUUGCCAUUUGCAGACUACCAUUCCAUCAAAUAAAUUUGAGCUUUUUAUCCAAUCAUUUGCACUCUUAUUUGUUUCAAUUCAACAAAUGUUUUGCAUGUUUUAAUUGAUAAAAUGUCAUUGUUUUAAACAAAUAAAAUUUUUCAAAUUUGUUGUUUUAAACAAAGUGAACAUUCACAAUGAUGGAAGGAUACUCAAGAAUUUCUCAGUGCUCUCCCAAGGGUGGCAUGAUUUCUAACAGGUAAGACAUUUGUUCAUAUUCCUGGCAUUGGUUGUAUCCUCUUUCUCCUGCUUUGUUGUUGGGGUUGUUCCCCAAGCAGAGUUGUUGUUGUGGGUUGUUCCCUAAGUAGAGUGCUUGUUGAAGACUUCGUUUUCUUCUCCAGCAGUAUUCUCUCCCAGCAUGGGUGUUGUUCCUUUUGGAAGAUUUCGGUAAUUGGUGGUUUGAAACCCAGGUACUCUGUUUCUCCCCAGUUCGGUCGCUAGCGGAGUUGUUGUUUCUCUCCUCAGCGUGGUUGCUUUCUUUUGAAGAUUCAGUGGUUGGUGGAUUGAUAUCCCAGUAUUUUACCAUUUUCCUCAGCGCAGUCGCCUGCAAAUUUGUUGCUAGCUCCCCAUCAGAGCGUUUAUCCCUUCAGCAGGACAAUGAUUAUAUUCCUCCUCAGUAGUUGUGGAUGUUUUCCUCAGAAGAGUCAGCAUUUAGUGGUUGAUCCCAGCUCUCUUCCAUAUCCCCAGUGGGUCCCGCAGUGGAUUUCCCUAGUGGAGCCGUCAAUAGAUUCGUGGUUUGGUGGAUUGUAUUUGUGCAAAAUCCCCAACAGAGUUGGUAUCUCCAACAGAGUCAGGAUUGCAUCUGUGGUAUUCCCUCAGAGUCUCCGCCAGAGCUGGUAUCCUCGACAGAGUUGCUUUUGUGGCAGUUUCCGCUUGUUGAAACCUCUGUUCCCCAGUGGGUUGGUUGGUGGUCUAGCAUCCAGAGAUUGGGUUGAUGUCCUGACUGUUUGAUCCUCAGUAGAGUGGCUUAUUGCAGAAUCUACUUGUGUGAUCUAUUUUUCCUCCAGUGGGUGUAUUCCCGAUGGAAUAAGCUACUUGUGUUCUCCAGGUAGAGUUGCUUGUGCAAUAGAUUCUACAUGGAUGAUCUGUUCUCCCUCAGAGGGUUGUUCCCCAGCGGAGUUAUGUGGAGUUGCUUUCAUAGCAGUUCUUGCUUGUGCAAUGAACUCUUGUUUCUCAGUUGAUGUUGAGGAUCCCCUGCCGAUAUCUUGGAGUUUCUCCUAUUUCCCCAAUAGAUUCGUCUUUGUGGCCGCUGGUGCCUGUUGUGACUUUCUGUUCGCCAUUUGGGUUGUUGUUGAUCCAUUACUCAGAGAUUUUGUGAUUUUCUUUGAUAUCUCUGACCUUUUGCCUCCCCGCAGAUCUUUGCUUUUCAGCAUGUAGAUCUCCUGCAGAUUGGCUUUCCAGUUGGUUUUUUCCCCUGGAAGUAUAGUACCGGGCGUGUGAUUCCUGGGCCUGUUUGUGUUAGACAUGUCUGUUUUGUCAGUAUUCAUCAAACAUAAAUCACGCAUAUUCAUGCAUAAUCAUAAAACAUUCAGAUAUUCAUGUUGCAUUUUUUGCCAUCUAUCUUUUGUUUGUUGUCUCCUGCUAUGGGUUUUAUAGAUCUCCAAUAGAUCUUCCCAAGCAGAUGUCGGGUGUUCAAUCUCUCCAUAUAGAGUCAGCCCCAUAAGCAGAAAGUGUCUGUCUUUCAUUCUGCAGUUCCCCACUGAGAUUAUCCUCGUGGAUGACGGUUUCUUCCGUUUCCUCCCAACACAUAUGUUGGGAUGGAUCUUCCUAUUUGAGUUAUAUCCUCAUUAGGAUGAGUCUUGAUUCAGUCUGUCUUUUCGGUUUGAUUCCGAAUUGGCAUUUGUCAGCUGUUUCUUGUGCUUCCCCGUGGAAUAAAUGAAUGAAUUGCCUAGUAACCGACAUUCAUUCUUUUAUCCCCAGCGGAAUCUUUUUGGGCCUCUACCCUCAUACCGGUAGUUGUAAGUCCUAUGUUCCCUCUUCUUGGUGGAAUUUGUGGUUAUACACCUUUUAUUCCUCAGCAAGAGUUGAUCGGUUUUCUACCCAGUAUUCGGUAGUUAUAAAUCCUAGUUUUUCUGCUCUCCAGCAGUUUGUGGUUUGUUAUAAACCCUAUUUUGUUUCCCGUGCGGAAUUGUGAUUCUUUCAUUCCCCACGCGGAGUUGUGGUUUUCUGCCCCGUAUUCGGUAGAUGUAAACCCCAAUCCUUUUUAUCCUCAUCAGAGUUGUUGGCUACUACCCCGUAUUCGGUAGUUGUAAGUCAUAUCUCUUUUCCCCUAGCAGAUGUAACCUUUGUGGUUCGUUCUGGUUGCUGAUGGAUUUUGUGUUGUUGUGGUUUUAUGCCCAACGGGGUCUGUGCUUUUGUGGAUAAUUGCCAGUUGCUAGCAAUUUUAUCCUUAGCCAGAGUUUUGGUAUUCUACCCCGUAUUCGGUAGUUGUAAACCCUAAUUUCUCCCUUUUGCAGAGUUAACCUUGUUGUUCAUCCUAACCGAUGAUGGUUACUCUUUGUGGUUAUCUUCAUUCGUUGUUCGAUGACUACCCCGUAUUCGGUAGUUGUAAACCCUAAUUUCUCCCUUUUGCAGAGUUAACCUUGUUGUUCAUCCUAACCGAUGAUGGUUACUCUUUGUGGUUAUCUUCAUUCGUUGUUCGAUGUUGAUAUUCCUUCCUUGCUUGUGGAUAAUUGUCAGUUGCUAGCAAUUGUAUCCCCAGCAGUCUUCUGGAUCAUUGCCGUAUGCUUGCAAUGUUAUCCUUUGAAGUCGCUAGCAAGUCCUUGUGGAUAAUUGUUGUUUAUGCAAUUCAUCCCCGGAUCAUUGAUUUUUGUAUCAAUGUAUCCCCAACGAGUUUUCUUUCAUGUACCCGUUUGCUUGGUAAUGAUUGUUGCUCCUUUGAUUGGUCGUCAUUGUAUACCUAGUUUGGUAUCCUGAUGCCUUUCUUUUCGGUCGAUUUAUCCUUUAUUAACCCAGUAACCGGUUGUGGAUAAUCUUCCAUGCGAGUAUGUUAUCCACGUUCUGACGGUAAUGGAUAAUAUAUCUCAUGCACUCUUCAGUCGAAGCCUUUUGUGUUNCGCUUUCGUGUAAAAGCAUACAGUAACACGCUAGUAGAUUUGCGUCUAUCCUAUCAGACGGCUUCCCCCAGGCGUCCGGCCUUAGCGAUCUGACUAACCCAUUGUCAAGAUGCCGUUCACAUGGAACUUCCGCCUCUUCGCCUUCCAAAUUCCAUUUGAAUAUUUGCUACUACACCAAAGAUCUGCAGCGCGACGACCGGCUUCCGCCCAGGCAUCGCGCCCUGGGUUUGCAGCGAUCCGUAUAUGCCGCGCCUCCUCUACUCAUAGGGUAAAAACCUACGAGCUUGCAACCCUAGUGCCAAUGAAACCAUACGCCGAUAGAAGUGAUCGGAUGGAUCUAGCAGGGUGAGAGAUAUCAUAUCACCAACAUUGCGCCUUUGAGUAUGAAGGAGCGCCCAUCUAAAAGGUACAUCAUUUAUUCCAGAGGCUAGUUUGAUUCGGCUCAGCAGGUGAGGUGAUUAUAUAACAUCACGUCUCCCUGACUGCUAAGCCAGGAUUUCGACUUCCCACGAAGCCAAAGGGCACGCCUCCUAGAAAUGGCAUACUAUAGUCUGGUUACUCCGACCAAGCGACAGAGCCCUUUAGGUAAAGGUCUAGGAUGGAGACCAGCGCAGUUGGCACCGACCCAGCUUCCGGUUCCAUCCCCAUCGCCACGUUCUCUUACCCGCAAAAAUGAGGCCGGAGCUAAUUGGAAGCUCCACUCGGGUAUAUCUUGGGCCAUGAGUCAAGUAGCAUUCAACAGAGCAGCCACACGCGGUCUAUCCUAAUCGAGAACGUUUGAGAAUAGGUCGAGGGCCGGUUUGCGCCCCCGCGACUGCCAUACUAAUAGCGUGAAAUUGUGAUUUACCGAUGAGGAAACAAUCGCACUCUAGGGCUCCAGCAUCCUGAGGAAACUCCUCGGAGAAGAGAACCAGCUACACAGAAUGUCGGUUCGAUUAGUCUUCUUGCCCCAUACCCAUAAGUCGACGAACGAUUCAUGGCACGGUAGGUAAUCCAGCUUGCGGGCGCUCCAUCCAGAGUUUCCUCUGGCUUCGACUUCCGCUCAUGGCAUAGUUCCACCACAUCUUCGGUCGCUGAACAGGUAUGCUCAUCAACAGGUCGAGUGACCCUCUUCACAAGAGAGACCUAGUGGUCGGGAAAAUAUCGGGCCAUCGACGGUGGCCAACCCACAAAAGGAUCCCGACCGCAGAUAUGGAGCUCAUACUCUGCUCCUUACGGGUUGACUACGCCGUUGCAUCAGGAACAGGAAAACUGAAUGCGUGCUACCAACAUGUCAGCACUCCUUGUGUCCGUGAUUCAUACAAGACGUGGGGACUAAGUCGCAAAACAUGGGGACUCCACACGGGGCGACGGCCGGAGCGCGCAAGUGCUCGAAGCACGCCGAAUCAUCACAGCGCGGCGCUUGCCGUCCACAACGUGAUGAUGACGUCUCCGCGAGCUUUCAACAACCCAGGGCUUUGGGUUCUCCACCAUCACAUCCGACGUACCAGGCUCAAAGAGUGCAUAUGUCUCCGAGAAGGAUGAUAGAUUGGCGAUAAUAUCCAUUACCCGUGCACAGCAAAACCACUGGCUUUCCACAUCCGGGAUCCAGGAAGAACACAUCGCCGGCCCCUCCCCAUCUGCACGCUUCAUCUCUGAGUAUAUUUAUCCGACACAUUUAUCAAGCACUUCUUUGGACUUUCUUUUCGAAGUCGCUUUCAUCUUCCCAUCCCAGCAGUACUUGGUUCGCUAUCGGUUCAUCGCCAAUAUUUAGCCUUGGACGAAUUUUACCGCCCGAGUUUUGGGCGCUUGCAUUAUGCCAAACAACACCGACUCGCCGCAGCCGCCUCGUGGUGCGACAGGACGUGUUUCGUCGAGCACAAAGGGCUACUCUCAACCCUCAUUCACGGCGCCCACUCGCCCUUAUCCAGGGAAUUAGAGCACCCCGGUCCGCCGACGCUGAGGACCCGCUCCCAGACUCAAUUCGAUUACGCCGAAUGGAGCGAUCGAUUCCAUGGUGGCUUAUCCCGGUUCGCUGUCGCCGUUACUUGAAGGGAUAUCCUGUUAGUUUCUUUUUCCUCCGCGGUUAAUUGAUAUGCUUAAUAUUCGGGCGGGUAGCCCCGCCUGAACUGAGAGUCUCAUCAGAUGCGUUUAGAAACCAAAAUGGGUAAAAGAGCCAAAUUUAAUAGCAACAACAUGAUGGUCCGUGGUUCAGCACACCCAUUUAUCAUGGCACACCCUCACAAGGUCUCAUUCUUAACCAAGAAUGAGACAAAGAGAGCUACGGGAGGCCAACAGUCCAGAACUCUGCACCAAUAACCCUGUCAGAAAUUGGCAGGGACGAAGGUUCAUAUGUGACAGCCCAGGGUCACAAACGUCCUCACCUAAAUGGCAUCGGGGGUCGGAGAACUUGGCGUUCAAAGCACUCGAUGUUUUCAACUGGGAUUCCUGGCAUUCACAUAUCACAGUAUCGCAUCGCUACGUUCUCAGUUCCGAAAACGUUUGUUAUUUGAUUUUUUUAUGAAUGGUAUAUAUGCCAAAACACUCAUCAUCCAAACACCAAACUGGUAAAGGAUGGAUAUUCGAUUCUACAAAGAAUACGAACUUACUCUACUGGAAAUCACAACGGAUCGCCAAAGAGUGAAGAGAUAUUUCAUACCGUCAGAAACGUGAAUAUACACUCUGAAGAAGAGCACCAAGGAGACCGGUUAGGCAUAAAUAGGUUGGUCACCAAAAGCAGAGACAAUCGAUACCUAACAUAUCUUACGGGAAUACAAGACAACUGCAACAGGGGAUAUAAUUGCAAGCAUCCGGCAACUAUCAAGAACCACAAAUAUCGAGAUCCGCAAAGGGAAAUAACGAAUCUUAAUGCUGGGAAACACAAAGCUCGACUGAAGAGUUGGUCGGUCACCUAUUAUAUACCCAGUAACCGGUAUCCCUGGUGUUCCUUCCUUUCUGCUCCCUAUUAUGACCUUGGUCCCUUGUGGAGUCAGAUUUUCCUGAGUUGAUGUACCUUUUUUAGGUCUCUCUCAGAUGUUUGGUUGAUUGAUAUCUCUCACCCUUAUACCGGUCUUAGAUAUUCAUUCUUUCUGAGUUUGUUACCCUUAUACCGGUAACACCUCAUUUCUUUGUUGCUUCCCUGUGAGAGUCUCUUUGUUAGAUCUUCUCCAGUGGAGUUUCCUAUUGUGAUUUUACCCCUUUGCUGUAUUGGCGUUUUCUCCAAUAUAUGCAAAUUUUCCCCGGCAGGGAGUUUCUUUGUGAAUCUGUUCCUGGUCCGAGUCCGGAUUUUUAUCCGAAGUAUCCCUUGUGGAUAGUUUGAGUCAGCUUGAGUCUUUCCAAUGGAUGUGUUUUCCUUUGGAAUUCUUCUUUUCCCCAGUGUGAGUCCUUCACCCCCCAGUGAGGUCUCCAGUCCAGUCGUGUUUUGGUCACGCUGUGUCAGUCUUGUUUUUCCCUAAUCCAGAGUCGUGUCCUACUCACGCAUUUCUUUUUUUUUAUCCCCAAUAAGAGUCCUUAUGAGGGUCCUGUUAGAGUCUUUGUUCCUGGUGAGUGUAUUACUCCGAUGGAUUGUCUUUUCUUCUGUGUGAACCAUAUCCCCACAGAGUUUGUGUCUUUUGCAUGCAUACAUCUGCAUCAUGAGGUCUCUUAGGGACCAAAAUUUGUCUCAUUACUGUUAUUUAAGCCCAUUCUACCGCGUCGAGAUGAAGAUUUCUAAACUUCAUUUCUCCGGCUAGAAUGACCUUAAAUAGGGGCAUCUGUAAGACCCCAAUUUUGUUCCUAAGAUCCCUCAUGGCAUCAUAUCAUAUCAUAUCAUUGCCUCAAGGAUCAUUGUGCACCUUGCCUGCUUUCCUGUGGGUGGGUCAUCUUUUAAGUGUGGUUCUUGAUCACCAAGCAUGUUUUGCAUUUGUAUAUCAUUGCUUUUCAUUUGUUUACUAACCAAAAGUACAAAAAUAUNNNNNNNNNNNNNNNNNNNNNNNNNNNNNNNNNNNNNNNNNNNNNNNNNNNNNNNNNNNNNNNNNNNNNNNNNNNNNNNNNNNNNNNNNNNNNNNNNNNNNNNNNNNNNNNNNNNNNNNNNNNNNNNNNNNNNNNNNNNNNNNNNNNNNNNNNNNNNNNNNNNNNNNNNNNNNNNNNNNNNNNNNNNNNNNNNNNNNNNNNNNNNNNNNNNNNNNNNNNNNNNNNNNNNNNNNNNNNNNNNNNNNNNNNNNNNNNNNNNNNNNNNNNNNNNNNNNNNNNNNNNNNNNNNNNNNNNNNNNNNNNNNNNNNNNNNNNNNNNNNNNNNNNNNNNNNNNNNNNNNNNNNNNNNNNNNNNNNNNNNNNNNNNNNNNNNNNNNNNNNNNNNNNNNNNNNNNNNNNNNNNNNNNNNNNNNNNNNNNNNNNNNNNNNNNNNNNNNNNNNNNNNNNNNNNNNNNNNNNNNNNNNNNNNNNNNNNNNNNNNNNNNNNNNNNNNNNNNNNNNNNNNNNNNNNNNNNNNNNNNNNNNNNNNNNNNNNNNNNNNNNNNNNNNNNNNNNNNNNNNNNNNNNNNNNNNNNNNNNNNNNNNNNNNNNNNNNNNNNNNNNNNNNNNNNNNNNNNNNNNNNNNNNNNNNNNNNNNNNNNNNNNNNNNNNNNNNNNNNNNNNNNNNNNNNNNNNNNNNNNNNNNNNNNNNNNNNNNNNNNNNNNNNNNNNNNNNNNNNNNNNNNNNNNNNNNNNNNNNNNNNNNNNNNNNNNNNNNNNNNNNNNNNNNNNNNNNNNNNNNNNNNNNNNNNNNNNNNNNNNNNNNNNNNNNNNNNNNNNNNNNNNNNNNNNNNNNNNNNNNNNNNNNNNNNNNNNNNNNNNNNNNNNNNNNNNNNNNNNNNNNNNNNNNNNNNNNNNNNNNNNNNNNNNNNNNNNNNNNNNNNNNNNNNNNNNNNNNNNNNNNNNNNNNNNNNNNNNNNNNNNNNNNNNNNNNNNNNNNNNNNNNNNNNNNNNNNNNNNNNNNNNNNNNNNNNNNNNNNNNNNNNNNNNNNNNNNNNNNNNNNNNNNNNNNNNNNNNNNNNNNNNNNNNNNNNNNNNNNNNNNNNNNNNNNNNNNNNNNNNNNNNNNNNNNNNNNNNNNNNNNNNNNNNNNNNNNNNNNNNNNNNNNNNNNNNNNNNNNNNNNNNNNNNNNNNNNNNNNNNNNNNNNNNNNNNNNNNNNNNNNNNNNNNNNNNNNNNNNNNNNNNNNNNNNNNNNNNNNNNNNNNNNNNNNNNNNNNNNNNNNNNNNNNNNNNNNNNNNNUUUCCAAAAAGUCGAAGAACAUGAAUUUCUCAUUUGUGGUUGAGAAGUUAUGGAUCAAUCAUUGCCAAGUAAAUUUGAACUUCAAGCUUGCAUAACUUUUGCACCAAAUGGCCAAAUGAAGUGGUUCUUUUUGGAACAUUUCCAUCUUGACAUGCUCUAUCAUAAUCAUGCAUUACAUUUCAUCAACUCUCAUCACAAAAAUAUUGGAUUUUUCACUUGAUUUCAUUUGAAUUUUUGGAGGGAAAGUAUCAAUUUGAAAAUUGUGCAUUAUUUUCAUUUCCAACCAAUCACAUUUGCUUCAAAACAGAUUUUGAAAUGCAUUUCCAAGCUAGCUCGAGUACUGUUCCAUUGCCUUGCAUUGCAUAAGGGUGGUUUUGCCAUUUUGCAUAAACAUGCCAAUUUCACUAAUCACUUGCAUUAUGGCUAAACAUGAUUAGUGAACAUGAUUAACAGAUGGUAUAUAACCCUAAUCAUAACAGAAAAUCAACAACAACUUCAUAAUUUCAGAUCUGAAAAAUUUCACUUCAAUUUUCUCUCAACUUUUUCUUCGAUUUUCUUCAUAAGCAUUGGCUAGUUCUUGGUUUGUUCAUCAUCUGCAAGCAUUAUUGAAGUGGAUUGAAGCAAGAUCCUGCAGAAUCCUUCAAGAAUCGUGGACUGUGGAAGCUUAUGCAUAACCAUGGCAAUUGAAGUUUCAAGAGAAAUCACGCAUUGUUGAGUUGUUCUUCAUCAUCCAUUCAUCUAUCCAAGCAGUGUAGAGCAUCUGUUUCGCAUUUCCAGGCCUUGAAUCAAGCAAAUUAACUUCUGCAUCUUCAUUGAGGUUAGAUUUCGAAUGCUCCAAUUCUUGAAAUAAUCAUGUGUUUAUGGUAGAUCUUGCAUCACUGGUUAUGCUGAGCUUUGGAUCUCUUGAUUUCAUGCAAUAUUGAAGUAGUUAUGAUGAUUUGAAUUUUGACAUGUGGAACUUCUUUUGCUCGAUCCAUGCGUAUUAUGUAGAAUUAGGUGAAAUUAAUGUUGGAUUGAUGAUGUAUGUUGAAGGAUGAAUCGAUUGAUAUAUGUUUGGUGAAUUUCUGUGAUGAUUUGUUCUUGGCCUUGAUGAACACGAUGAAUGUGUUUGAAUGUUCUAGGUUUUCUAUUUCCAGAAAUGCUUUGAUCUUGCCUGGCCGAGUUUGCAUGUGUUUUGUUGUUUUUCGCUCAUGUAUUGGUCCAAAUGCCGGCUUCUGAUUGGCCAGCGUUUCAAUUAAAUGAAACGCGGCGUUUAACAUGGCGCCACAAUUCAAAUGUUCAUGUGGUUCGAUUCCCCGCUUCAUCAAAAUCCAAAAUGCCUUGUAUAUUUUAUCCAUUUAUGCUAUCCAUGUUCAUGCUAGAAGUAAGUACUAAAAAUUAAAAAAAAGAACAUUCAAAAAUCCAUAACUCCAUGAAUAAUCAUCCAAAUCACAUGAGAUUUUUUGCACAAUGUUCUUCAUGAUGUCUACUAUUUUUUGAUGAUUUUUUCAGAAUUUGUGCUCGGUUGGAUUUUAAAUUUGCCUAGGGAUUGUUCAUGCAUAUGCCAUCUUGUAUCUUGCUUGCUAUUUUCUUUGUGAAAUGAUGAUGGUUAAUCGAAUGAAUGUGAAAAUUGACAUGCUUAAACUAGACAUCCUAAUGGUCAUUUCGGUAUAGAGUUUGCAUUUUUCUCAUUUCUGGUUGUUGAGAUAUGAUCUGAUUAAUGUAGGUGUGACAAUGUGUGUCACACCUUGGCUUGCUUGACUUUCUGAUUUUAUUUACCAUGCCCAUUAAAUGCCAAAUGAUGUGAAUUUUUGCAUGAUGCUCCUUCUGGAUGUUAAGAUUGAUCAUGAAUUUUUGUAGAAUUUUUAGAUCUAUUUCUGAUUUGUUUGGGAUUUUCUUUGCUGGUUAGUCAUGUUUGGACUUUUGAUGAAUGUUGAACUUAGAUGAUUUGUGAAAUGCUUGAUGUUUAUCAUAUGACCUUGAAAUUUUACACAUGUUUUCUAGACACAUUGAAGUUUGUCUUGGCUUUGGUUUGAGUCAUUUAUCACUUGUAAUUUCUGUUUUAGGAUUGCCUUAAGUUGAUGUAUCAAUUUGUGCCUCCUUUGAGCUUGUUAAUGCUUACCUUGACUUGAUGAAUUUCUUUGACUUGCUUAUACAUGUCCAAAUGCCAUGAUUUUUGGUGUGUUGAUCAUUUGAUGUGUUAUGUUUAGUCAUGAUUUUUCUUGAGAUUUAUUGAGCCAUUAUGGAAUUAAUAUGCCUUGGUUCAUUCUGUUGCUUCUAUGUGGUUUCAACUUGCCUAUCUUGACAUGUUUUGAUUAUGAAAUUCUUUUGGUAAUUGAUAUUGGCAUGAGACCUUUUGGAAUAGUUUCUUAUUUGAUUUAACUUGAUUAUUGUCAAUUUUCAUGUUCUGUUUUGAAUUAUUUCUCCCCCUUUGACCCUAGGCUUUGUCCUGGUGGUUUGCCUCUCAUGUUUGAAGCUUUGUUUCAGGUUGCACAUGCAAGUUAUACAAUUGAUGAUGCCUCAUCUUGAGAGCAUUUGAUAUUUGCUUUUGAUUAAUAAUGUGUGUUUUGUAGGUUGAUGUUGAUUCAAUUGGGAUUGACUUGUGGCUUAUGCCUUUGCCUAUAUUGGUUGUCUGUUGCAUUAACUGUUGGUUGUUUAUCUGAGUUGUAUACUGAUUUGUUUGAUGUUUCCACAGGUACAUUAGUUGGAAUUAAGUUCAUUUUGAACUUGCUUGGUUGCUUAACCAUAAGGUAAUACAUCUCUCUCUUCAUGUAGCCUGGAAGACGCUGGCCUGUUACAUUGGCCAGGGACCUGUCUGAAGUCCUCCUUAAGAGGCAAUGUUUGUGCUUGUUUAUUUCUCCCCAAGCCAGGAAAAGUCCUUUUGAUAAGGGCAAUUGUAAGAUAAAGAAGAUGUAGUCCAUCUCUACUAUCUGUGGUCAUGACCUUGCUCGACAUUAACAUGUUGUGCAUUGUGGAUCUUAACGCCAAGAUUCGUAAUAGAAGUCAUAACUUGUGGAGAGAGUUCCCAACUCGUCUAAACUUCCCAGUCAUCUAUUAUCGACUUAAGCUCUCCACUGGACAGGGAUAAGAGCCAUGAGCCAAUCCCCCACCUCAAUCACUUUCAUCUUGCUUCACCUUAACUCUACAGAUGUUAAGGUUAAGAGACCUACUACACCCAUUCCAAGAUUGACAUUAAGUCAACCCUGCUUGACCACUUGUGUGUAUAUAGAUGUUGCAACCUGAUUUAUGAUGCUUAUUGUCAGCUGUUACAUGCUUGCUCUGUUUGCCUUGUGCAUUAUCAUCAUUAAUUGGUGCAUUAUUGCAUGAUCUCAUUUCAUAUCUUGUGACACAUCUUUGUUCUGUCCAUUGAGGACAACUUGAAGUCCCAUUUCAUUGGCCAGUGUUCCUAUGAUUGGAAGGGAUUGAGUGUAAGACCAUUUGUGGCCACUUAAUGUCCUCUUGCUUAUUCUUUUGUUUGAUUGUUGUAUGUGAGGAUGCAAUUGUAAGUCCAUCGUGUUGGCAUUUGUUUUUUCCAUGAUCAAUCUGCUUGGAAGAUUGGUAUAGCCAGAUAGAUUGCAUAUGAAUCCAUCGUUUUGUUUUGCUUUAGGAGAUUGGAAUAAGUCCAUUUAUUGGCAUCUGAUAUCCAUGUUUGUUUUAGUAGAUUGGCUGGUUUGUAAAUCCAUUGUGGUAUCCGGUAUCCCGCUUUUUGUUUGUGACGAUUGGGUUAAGUCCAUUUUUUGGCAUCCGGUAUCAUUGCUUUGUUUUAGGAAUUGCUUGUGGUAAAUCCAUUAUUGGUAUCCGGUACAUCCGCCUUUGUUUUGAGAUUGGCUGUAUCAGUCGAUUGAUUGGCAUCCGGUAUCACCGUGCUUUGUUCAUUUGCUACUUGCAUUGUUGCCAUCAUUCCAAAAGGACCACUUGAAUCAUCUUCUAUAUGUAUUCUCUCUCAGGCAGGCUGAAAGGAAGUUCUUGUACCAUCUGUCUAUAUCAUUCUGGCUCAUACUUAUUGGUUAUAGCUUUCAACACACACUUUCAUUUCAACUUUUGGACUUUGAUUUUAUUAACUGGUAAAUAGCCAUAGUGUGCAAAUUACAUUUUCAUGUCUUUUCAAAUUAGAAACUGGACCUAAGUCUUCGAUCUUGACAUAUACUUCGAGUUUGAACUAUCAAGAUUUGAAAUUCGUUGUCUAUUUCUUGAUAAUUGAUAAUCUAAUUUUAUCACUUCUGACCAUACACUCAUUUGUGAAGGUACUCAUAAUCAAUUAACUUCUCGGCCAUUUAUGUCUGUAUAUAUGUGCGCUAUGGUAUCCACUGUUCGAAUAUGAGUCUUCAUACGUUGCUCAUUAGUCUAUACUUAUUGGUCAUAAGAUGGUUUGGAUGUAACUUCUUCACAAAACAGUUCUCUUAGGUUCGCACUUUGUAAGUCGCUGUCCAUAACUUAUUUAUAUUCUUCGGUAUUAACCGCCGUCCUAGUAUGAAUUGAUUACUGACGCUUAUCUCCUCAGUGCGCAAUGGUUUGCGAACCUUGUUGAAUCGUUCGUCACCCUUUUGUAUUGUCUGGUAUUCCUCCUCGGAAAUUGAUAAUGAAAAGCCCCGGUUAGCUGCUACACUUUGUCUUAAAAUGAAUCACCCGACUCACUGAUUAUCUGAGAAAAUCUUUCUAGCCGAAGUACCUAACGGCGUUUUGACUUCGCUUACCAUUUCCAUGGAGAGCUACGUAUGCCUCUACCAUUUCUUAAUGGCUACGCGUUCUCAGUUCACCUCCGCUUUCAACCCUUGCACACAACAAACCUUAAUCAAUUGUACAUUCUUCUUCUCUGCUCCCAUCAUGUUUGCACAUAUGUCAUAUUCAAAUCUUUUAAUACACAACAAGUUGUGAAAAGGGUCCCUAGGAGUACUAGAGACGUCUUUGGUGGUGCUAACACUUCCACAUUGCUCGUAAUUUACCCCUUACCCAGAUUCUCUGAUCUUUUCAUUAGUUUUCUAUGUGUAAAACUUCUUAGGCUUUUGUUCGCUUUUUAGCCAAUCCUAUGGAUAAAUAAAAGUGCGGUGGCGACUCGGUUUCUUUGUAUGCUUUGCUUUUGAUUUAGUCAAUAAAUCAUAAAGUGACGAAUACACCGCUACAGGUAUUGAAGAGGCGAUUGAUUUGCGGAUCAAAAACCUUGUUAUAUAUGGGGAUUCAGAUUUGGUUGUGAAUCAGGUUAACGGAAAAUGGUAUACGCAUCAAUCUCAUUUAAUUCCAUACCGGGAUUAUACGAGAAGAUUGUUGACGUUCUUCACCAAGGUGAAAUUGCAUCAUGUGACGAGAGAAGAGAAUCCUUUGGCGGAUGCUUUGGCUAAUCUGGCUGCCUUGAUUAAGGUGCAGUGGUGGAAUCAGUUCCCUAGUGUUGAGGUGGGACGUCUGGAUAGACCAGCUUAUGUGUUUGCUGUUGAGGCAACACCUGAUGAUGAGAAGCCGUGGUAUUAUGAUAUCAAACGCUAUCUGGAGACCCAAGAGUAUCCUGAGGGAGCAUCCAAGAAGGACCGAAAGACUCUGAGGAGGUUGGCCAUGGUGUUCUAUCUGAACAAGGAUGGGGUUUUGUACAAGAGAAAUUUUGAUUGGGUUUUGCUCAGAUGUGUUGAUGAUAAAGAAGCAAGACAAUUGAUGAAAGAGGUUCACGAGGGGUCGUUCGGUACCCACGCCAGUGGGAAUGCAAUGGUGAAGAAGCUGUUAAGAGCUGGGUAUUAUUGGAUGACAAUGGAGGCCCAAUGUUUCAAUUUCGUGCGGAAGUGUCAUAAAUGCCAGAUUUAUGCUGACAAGGUGCACGACAAUGGUGAAGAAGCUGUUAAGAGCUGGGUAUUAUUGGAUGACAAUGGAGGCCCAAUGUUUCAAUUUCGUGCGGAAGUGUCAUAAAUGCCAGAUUUAUGCUGACAAGGUGCACGUGCCUCCUAAUCCAUUGAGUUUGAUGUCGUCUCCGUGGCCAUUUGCUAUGUGGGGCAUUGAUAUGAUCGGGAAGAUUGAGCCUACGGCUUCGAAUGGGCACUGGUUCAUAUUAGUGGCUAUCGAUUACUUCACCAAGUGGGUGGAAGCAGCCUCUUAUGCAAACAUGACGAAACAGGUUGUUGCCAGAUUCCUGAAGAGAGACAUCAUUUGCAGAUAUGGGGUUCCCGAGAGAAUCAUUACUGAUAAUGGUUCUAAUCUCAACAACAAGAUGAUGGAAGAGCUGUGCCAGGAAUUCAAGAUCGAGCAUCAUAAUUCUUCUCCUUAUCGUCCGAAGAUGAAUGGGGCGGUUGAGGCAGCCAAUAAGAAUAUUAAGAAGAUUGUGCAGAAGAUGGUUGUGACCUAUAAGGAUUGGCACGAGAUGUUUCCGUUUGCAUUGCAUGGGUACCGAACCUCGGUGCGUACAUCUACUGGGGCUACGCCUUUCUCGCUUGUUAUGGGAUGGAAGCCGUGCUACCGGUUGAGGUUCAGAUUCCUUCGUUGAGAGUCCUGAUGGACGUGAAAUUGAAAGAGGCGGAAUGGGUAAGGACUCGUUACGAAGAGUUGAGCCUGAUUGAGGAAAAGAGGCUGGCGGCCAUUUGUCAUGGGCAGUUGUACCAGCAGCGAAUGAAGCGUGCUUUUGACCGAAAGGUGCGACCUCGUGUGUAUCACGUAGGAGAUAUGGUGCUGAAAAUGAUCCUUCCUCCUCAAAACGAUCAUAGGGGAAAGUGGACACCCAAUUAUGAAGGUCCAUUCGUGGUCAAGAAGGUUUUCUCUGGCGGAGCCUUGUUGUUGAUGACCAUGGAACCGCUCCUAAAAGGUAGGGGACACUUACGCCUGCGUCAAAAAAAAUACUUCGUAUAAGAGACCCGCUGGACGAAAAGAAUAAAAUAGUCCAGGAAAAAAUGGGCAUCCCGGCGAACCAGAAAAAAAUGAGAAAGGUUCGGGCAAAAAUUAGGGAUAAAAAGGAAAAACUGUACACCCGGAAAGUCGAAAACCCCCUCAAGGGCGGCUUGGGUAAAAAAGGGUAUCCCGGUGGACUGAAAACCCGAAAGGGCGGUCCAGGCAAAAGAGGGAUUGAAACGAACAACUGCGUCUAGCAUGAUCGUUGGUGCUUUGGAUAUGACAUGGAUAAUCCCCGAUAGGGAUUGGUCGGAAGCGUCUUGUUCAGAAGGCAGAAAGAGCGAAGAGUCUUGAGGACAUAUGGGGUGUAACCGAGUUGGAACUCGACGAGAUCACGGGUUCACAUUGCCAUUAGGAUAAAUUUUUCCUUUUGUGCGCAAUUACCUCUUUUCAGGGAUUGCUUCCUGUGUAUCGCUCAUUUAUGAGCCACAUUUUCAACCAAUAAAAUGCAUAUUCAGUCAAAUAAUUUUGUUUUUGUUUUUCACUACCGCUUUGAUUGCAAAAACAUCCGUUUAUUUUGAUAAAGAAUCUUUGAAUUUUGAGACAUGGAGAUCCCUUCCAAUGCAUGCUUAUAGGAUUGAGAACUUGAAAUCUUAUUCGGAAGGUUAAGUGACCUAGGUGUUGAAAUUUUGGCACGCCUGGGGCACGUUUUUAUCUAACGAUCUCUUUUGCAGGUGUUGUUAGAUAUUUUCACUCACUUGCAGGUUGUGAUGUGAAGCCUUUUGACAAAAGAUCCCCGUGAGGGCACGUUUUUAUCUAACGAUCUCUUUUGCAGGUGUUGUUAGAUAUUUUCACUCACUUGCAGGUUGUGAUGUGAAGCCUUUUGACAAAAGAUCCCCGUGGAGUCCAAUCAGGGACGAGGAAUGGAGAAACGGUGAAAAGACGACGGAAGAACGUGCGACGAUCCUGGAGGAUUAAUCAAGAAGACUCUUCAAAGUCUGAAGAAUUGGAAAGUUGAUACCAAUUGGAGGGGUUCGAUCUCCGUAGAGUACAGAGAAGUCAAGAAUACAAGGUGAUGAAUCAGAAAAGUCCAGACGAGUCUGGGAGCUCUCAAAAGUGGAAAGCUGACACUGUGGUUAGAUAGUGAAUGCCAAUGUUUGACGAGUCGACAGGUGUUCGUAUCAGAUAUGUCGUAUCUCCCCAGCAGAUUCGAGAUCGAUGUUUUUUAGGCAGCCAGGCCUGAAGGUUGUUGUUCUCCCCAGCAGGUUCGAGGUCGGUGUUUCUUCGACAACCAGGCCUGAGGUUGUUUCCCCGCAGAGUGCGUUGGUGGAUUCUUCCCCAGCAAGUCAAGGAUUGUUGUUUUCCCCGCAGAGUGCAUUGGUGGUUUCUUCCCCAGCGAAGUCCCCAAGCGGAUCGGGUUCAGUGAAGGUCAUCCCUGGUGAGAGUGGUCCUUUCCCCAGCAACAGUGUUAUUCCCCAGCAGGGUGGAGGUUGUAGUGGUAUCAAGUUCCUCAGCAGAGUGCCUCGAGCUUCCCAGUAGAGUCCCUUGAGGGGGAUACUUGUUUAUGCAUUCAUCAUUUAGAGAAGCAUAGCAUAUUGCAUAAUAAAUUGCGUAGCAUUUCCAUGGUUAUGGGGCAUUACGCUGUAAAAAAUCAUGCAUCAGCAUUGCAAGCAUAAACUAGUCUCAAGCCGUGGUUACCGUUUGAGAAGUGGUUUCGCUAGUUGGAAGGUCAGCAUGGCAAGUAUAAAUUCGACUCAAGCCGUGGUUACCGUUUGAGAAUUGGUUUCGCCGGAUGGUGAAGAUGUUACUCUGAGGAGUUUAGCAUCGUGACGUUGGGUCAACGGUAUUCCCCAGUAUUGCGAUACUGGAGGAGAUUUCUGUCGUGCGAGAUGGAAGUUGGAAGAUGUUACUCUGAGGAGUUUAGCAUCGUGACGUUGGGUCAACGGUAUUCCCCAGUAGUGCGAUACUGGAGGAGAUUUUUGUCAUUUAGCAUCGUGACGUUGGGUCAACGGUAUUCCCCAGUAGUGCGAUACUGGAGGAGAUUUUUGUCGUGCGAGAUGGAAGUUGGAAGAUGUUACUCUGAGGAGUUUAGCAUCGUGACGUUGGGUCAACGGCAUUCCCCAGUAGUGCGAUACUAGAGGAGAUUUCUGUCGUGCGAGAUGGAAGUUGGAAGAUGUUACUCUGAGGAGCUUAGCAUCGUGACGUUGGGUCAACGAUAUUCCCCAGUAUUGCGAUACUGAAGGAGAUUUCUAUCGUGCGAGAUGGAAGUUGGAAGAUGUUACUCUGAGGAGUUUAACAUCGUGACGUUAGGUCAACGGUAUUCCCCAGUAGUGCGAUACUGGAGGAGAUUUUUGUCGUGCGAGAUGGAAGUUGGAAGAUGUUACUCUGAGGCGUUUAGCAUCGUGACGUUGGGUCAACGGUAUUCCCCAGUAGUGCGAUACUGGAGGAGAUUUCUGUCGUGCGAGAUGGAAGUUGGAAGAUGUAUGAGACUCCUCAAAUCGUAGCACUGCAACCCAGUUCGGUAUUCCCUAGUAGUGCGAUACUGGAGGAGAUUUCUGUCGUGCGAGAUGGAAGUUGGAAGAUGUUACUCUGAGGAGUUUAGCAUCGUGAUGUUGGGUCAACGGUAUUCCCCAGUAGUGCGAUACUGGAGGAAAUUUCUAUCGGGCGGAGAUGGAAAUGAUAAUCAAAGAUGUUCCGGGGUUCAAGAAAAGUAAAAAAAAAAAGGAAAAAAAAAAGAAAGAGAAAAAAAAUCAGAAAGUUGUGGGGUUUAAGAAAAGCAAAAAAAAAAUAUAAUAAUCUCCAGCGGAGCGCAAAUUGUUCGUCUGUUCUUGGUAUUCAAUUACUCUUCACCCUGAUCAUCUGAAAGCUGAGGCUGUUCAAAUCGACAGGUUCACAGUGGAUUGAAUAGGGGCAGCUGUAACACCUCAAAAUUUUCCCUCCUCUUCUUGGGACUAGUUUAGUGUCAUACGGUGAACUGACUUUGUGUGUUUUUGCUUUGGAAAGCAAAUGUCGCGGAUAGCCAGAGUCGCCACCGACUUUUCUUUUAUCCAAUAAGGAAAGGAGGAAAAGAAAAGGAAAGACCUUGAUUAGAUUUUGGGUUCGGGAGGUACAUUAUACAAAGGGAAUGGGUUAGCACCCUUUGUAUCCAUGGUUAUCCAUGGGCUCUUAAUUGCUUGAUCACUUAUGUUUUUCUUGUCUGAAAAAAGUGUUUGAGAACUGUUUAGAAAAUGUUUUGAAAAGAGAGGUUAAUCUUUGAGUAAUGAUUCUUGUACGAAUGUAACAAAUGUAUUUAUCUCGUUUAAUUUUGAAAGUUGUUUAGAAAAAUAUAACUUGGCAAUGAUUCUAGUACGAAUGUAUACCAAGUGGUGAUUUUCUAAUAGAUGUUUUGCAAAGUGUGAGGUAUGAAAAGUAUUUUAAGUUGUGAGUCAGCAUUUAAGAGAUGUACCUAAUCAAGGUCUUUAUGGGUAUUUCCUAUCCUUAGGAGGGUAAGACUGUCCUUACUAUUGAGAAAUAAGGAGUCUUAUCCUUUGGAUGUAAAGGGACAUCGUAGGGUCAUCGAUUGGUCAUGGAAGGCAACAUUUGUAAGGAUACCUUAGCAUUCGAAGGGACAAUCAUCAUUUAACCGUAGGCUACAAUGAAGGGUCAUCGAGGGACAAAGUCAUGUAUUCGAAGGCAACAUCCGAGGGACUAUGAUUUAUCUUGUAGGGACAUGAUGAUUUAAUUGAAGGGUCUUUGCUAAGUAUAUCCCCACAUUCGCGGGACAUGACCGUAAUACCGUAAGGCAACAAAGAGAGGGCCAAGAUCAUAUAUUCAAAGGCAACAAUUUAUAAUCAGUUAGGUAAUUAGGAUGAAUCUCCACAACAUUUGUAAUCAGUUAGGUGAUUAGGAUGAAUCUCCACAAGGGUAUCCCAUAAAUAAAGUGGAAUACCUAGCCAGCUACCUUCUUCGGGAUUAUGUGAGCCCUCACAAAAUUCAGCAAACAGGUCAGAAUACCAAAUGGGGUGCGGUCAAUAGUUGCACCGAACAAAGGAAUUACAGCAGUAAUGAUAUCAGGCAAAUAAUACACAACUAUGAUAGAACAUGUCAGAUAAGCACAAAACAUAACCAAAAAAAAAUAGCGACUGUCAUGUUCGCUACUGCCUCGCCUGGCGAAGGCUUGGCGAACACUCGCUACUUGUUCGCUUAGCGAUGUGCUAGCGAACGACUGUGGGUUUUGAGUUUAAUAACAGUAUGAUUUCAGCAAGCUCCAAACCCUAUGGCAUCCAUUACAGAAAUUACAUGGUUAAACAUUCAAAACAUCCAUGCAUACUUAAAUCCACGUGCAAAACCUAAGGUAUAUUUAUAAAUUCAAUCAUGAUGUUACAUGUAAAUUGGGAGUAUAAAGCGGUAACGGUAGUGCAAACCUGUUUGCAAUUGAAUUGCAAUGUUGAAUUGGCAGAUCACUCUUAGGGUUGGUGUCGGAUUGAGUUGGGCGGAGGUAAUGUAAAUUGGGAGUAUAAAGCGGUAACGGUAGUGCAAACCUGUUUGCAAUUGAAUUGCAAUGUUGAAUUGGCAGAUCACUCUUAGGGUUGGUGUCGGAUUGAGUUGGGCGGAGGUAACCUUUGUGCAGAUGAGUUUCCUUCAGGGUUUCCUUUAGUGUUGCUCUGAAUUCUCUUGGUUAGUCUCCAGGGUUUGCUCGGUUGCUUCUGUUAGGGUUUCCUUGCUAGGGUUUCUGUCCGUAUCUUUUUUCUCCUGUUUGUGAGUGAAGCUCUGCUAUUUAUAAUAAUUUUUGUGACCUGAUGGGCUCAGAAUGAAGCCCAAAAUUUAUGGUAUUCGCAAGCUUCGCUAGGCGAGUGGUGCAGCGAAGGGUUCGCUAGGUGAAUGAUUUUGCUCGCCUAGCGAGCAAGCCAUUUUAAGUCAUUUUCUGGAUUUGGCCACCUGUGUGCUGGGUCUUUGUUCCUUUAAGAUCAAUGUCCUGAAAAAUAAGUUGGAGUGCCUUGAAAAAUGUCUUGCAAGAUUAACGGGCAAAUUUUGGGGUAUGACAGCUGCCUCUGUUCGAUAUUCUUGAACCGAGAGAGUUAGAAUGGUAUGUACGCCAUUCGUGGUAUGUAGGUGGAAGAUUAUUGAACACUUAGAAUGUCCCAAAAAUUUGCACUUGUUAAUUAGUCUUGAUGGAGAUGGGCUUAAAGAUGCCAUUCAGGAAGUUUGAUGAUGAGAGCUUCAGAGUGCGUCAUACAUCAGACCAAUUUGAAGACAUGGGUGCCACACCGGGUCGUACGCUAGACCGUAUAGUGAGUCACCCAUUAGGCGAUAUUAGGGUGAGCUGAACCUGAUGAGAUAAGGAUCCGAAUGAGUCAUACACUGCUGGGGAUAAAGGAUCAGAAUAGAUCAUACGCUAGAUCGUAUCUGAAUAACAGAAUGAGUUGUCCAUUAGGCGGGUGACUUCACUGGGGAUGAAAGGUCAGAAUGGAUCGUACGCUAGAUCGUAUCUGAGUUGCAGAAUGAGUCGUCCAUUAGGCGGGUGACUUCACUGGGGAUGAAAUAUCAGAAUGGAUCAUACGCUAGAUCGUAUCUGAGUUGCAGAAUGAGCCGUCCAUUAGGCUGUAUCUGAGGAUGAAAGGGUAGUCGUACGCUAGACCACGUUUCAGAAUGUACCGUACGCUAGGUAGUAUCUGAGGAAUAAAGAUCAGAAUGGAUUGUACGCUAGAUCGUAUCUGAGUGGCAGAAUGAGCCGUCCAUUAGGCUGUAUCUGAUGAUAAGGGAUAGUCAUACGCUAGACUACAUUUCAGAAUGUACCGUACGCUAGGUAGUAUCUGAGGAAUAAAGAUCAGAAUGGAUCGUACGCUAGAUCGUAUCUGAGUGGCAGAAUGAGCCGUCCAUUAGGCUGUAUCUGAUGAUAAGGGAUAGUCAUACGCUAGACUACAUUUCAGAAUGUACCGUACGCUAGGUAGUAUCUGAGGAAUAAAGAUCAGAAUGGAUCGUACGCUAGAUCGUAUCUGAGUGGCAGAAUGAGCCGUCCAUUAGGCUGUAUCUGAUGAUAAGGGAUAGUCAUACGCUAGACUACAUUUCAGAAUGUACCGUACGCUAGGUAGUAUCUGAGGAAUAAAGAUCAGAAUGGAUCGUACGCUAGAUCGUAUCUGAGUGGCAGAAUGAGCCGUCCAUUAGGCUGUAUCUGAUGAUAAGGGAUAGUCAUACGCUAGACUACAUUUCAGAAUGUACCGUACGCUAGGUAGUAUCUGAGGAAUAAAGAUCAGAAUGGAUCGUACGCUAGAUCGUAUCUGAGUGGCAGAAUGAGCCGUCCAUUAGGCUGUAUCUGAUGAUAAGGGAUAGUCAUACGCUAGACUACAUUUCAGAAUGUACCGUACGCUAGGUAGUAUCUGAGGAAUAAAGAUCAGAAUGGAUCGUACGCUAGAUCGUAUCUGAGGGGAUGAACAUCCGAAUGGGUCGUACGCUAGACCGUAUUGGAACAGUUGAAGGAACCAUACGUUAGGCUGAAUCAGAAUGAACCGUACGUUAGGCUAUAUCUGACGAUAUUUGUAUAUGUUGUAUUUGCAAUAAAUGUCUGGGAUGGGCUUAAAGAUGCCACCAUUAGGAGGAUAUCAGAGUGCUUAUCCGAAUGAAUGUUCAUAUGGAUUAUAUCUGAAAGAUGUAUUUGAAUCUUGAAUGUAAUCGAUAAAGAUGUCCGUCUGAAUGGAUCUUUAUUUUGACUGUAUCAGGAGGAUAAUUAACCUGAAAGAUAAAGUUAGCUUCAUGUCAUGUCAUGAUGCAUGAGAUGUUUUAUGCUUUCGAAAAUAAAUGCGAACAUUGUAUGCAUGCGUAUGCUGUGAAAUGAUGUAAUGAAUGAAUUAUGCGUCUGAAAAGUUUCCAGGGGAAAAUAAAUCCCCAUAUCCUGGUUGGAGAUAUUUGUAUUGAUGACCCUUUCUUAGCUGGGGAUACUUGAUUUCUGUCUGAUGAUAGAAAUAUUCAACAGAGCCUGGUUGGGGAUAGAAGAGAUGACCAGUCUGUCGGGUGAUACCCAUUUCUUCUGGGGAAUAACUGGUUUUUGCUGGGGGAAUAGAAUUAGCAACCAGACUCGUUGGAAAGCAUGGUUAGACCUUAUCCUCGACCCUAAAGUCUUUUAGUAACUGUUAUUGCUAUUUUAUGCAUGUAUUUUCGGUAAACAUCAAUCAUGUUCAAAUGCAUAUAUUAAUUCAAAUUAAAUCAAUGGACGUUUACGCAAACAAAACAGAAAAGUAAAACAAAAGCAUCUUUUGGAAAUAAAAUUGUUUUGAUUUUGAAAGAGGGCCUAUAAACAGGCAAUUUGUGUACAAGGAGACAGAAAUCCUAGUAAGAGGAAAUUGUCAAGAAAACAAAGAGAAAGCUAUGUAGAAAAAGUCCUAUUGAUUUUAAUUCCACUACUGUCAUUAUGUCUUCAAGCCUCUCAUCUCCUGUUGUCGGAUAAAAGUGAUUAGCUUGUUCAGUCCUUUGAACUUGGAUGGAGCCGCCUGAGAACGGGACAUAGUCAUACGCUUUAAUCCCUAAUUUUUGCCUGGACCGCCUUCUCAGGUUUUCAGUCCACCAGGAUACCCUUUUUUGCCCAAGCCGCCUUUUCAGGUUUUCGACUUGCCGGGUGUACAUUUUUAUAUGUUUAUCCCUAAUUUUUGCCCGAACCCUUUUGGUUCGCCGGGAUGCCCUUACUUUUGCCUAGAUACGUCGACCUAGCGGGUCUCUUUUAUGCGUAGUAUUUUUUAACUAUGUCUGCGUUCACGGGAUGUGGGAAGUCUUCGCCAUCCAUUGUAGCAAGUAUCAUGGCUCCACCAGAGAAUACCUUCUUAACUACAAAUGGCCCUUCGUAUGUGGGGGUCCAUUUGCCUCUGGAAUCACCUUGUGGUAGAAUGAUACGCUUUAUUACCAAGUCGCCAAUUUGAUACACCUGUCUCUUGACCUUUUUGUUAAAUGCCUGGGUCAUACGCUUCUGAUAUAUCUGCCCAUGACAAACAGCCGCAAGUCUCUUUUCAUCAAUCAAAUUUAUCUGAUCGAGUCGAGUCUGAACCCAUUCAUCCUCGUCUAAAUCUGCCUCUUUCAUGAUUCUUAGAGAGGGAAUCUGAACUUCCACUAGUAAGACGGCUUCCAUUCUGUAGACUAAAGAGAAAGGAGUUGCCCCUGUCGAAGUGCGCACUGAAGUGCGAUAACCAUGAAGAGCAAAGGGUAACAUCUCAUGCCAGUCUUUGUAGGUUACUGUCAUCUUUUGUAUGAUCUUCUUAAUAUUCUUAUUAGCAGCUUCUACGGCGCCAUUCAUCUUUGGCCGGUACGGAGAAGAGUUAUGGUGUCUUAUUUUGAACUGCGUGCAGAGUUCAGUAAUCAUCUUGUUGUUCAAAUUAGUACCAUUAUCAGUGAUAAGCCUUUCAGGGAUGCCAUACCGACAAAUAAGACUAUUCUUAAUGAACCGUGCCACCACAUUCUUGGUGACAGAAGCAAAUGAGGCUGCCUCUACCCAUUUUGUAAAGUAAUCAAUAGCAACAAGAAUGAAACGAUGUCCAUUAGAAGCAAUAGGUUUGAUCUCUCCAAUCAUAUCAAUGCCCCACAUUGCAAAGGGCCAAGGUGCUGUCAACACGUUCAAUGGAGCAGGAGGUACAUGUACUUUGUCCGCAUAGAUCUGGCACUUGUGACAGGUUCUGGAGUGAUGGUGGCAAUCAGCUUCCAUGGUAGACCAAUAAUACCCUGAUCUCAGAAUCUUCUUGGCCAUCGUAUGUCCACUAGAAUGAGUCCCAAAAAUACCGUCAUGCAUGUCUUCCAUAAUCUUUUCUGCUUCCUUUUUAUCCACACAGCGAAGCAAAGUCGAAUCAUGAUUACGUUUGUAUAAUACUCCAUUACUCAAAAAGAAUUUAGCGGAGAACUUCCUCAGAAAUUUUCUGUCAUUGAUGGAUGCCCCUUCAGGGUAUUCCUGAGUUUCUAAAUAUCUUUUUACUUCGUGGAACCAAGGUUUCUCUUCUACUUCAUCAGCAUUAAGUUCAUAACAAUAUGCUGGUUCAUCUAAUCGUUCAAUGGUGAUCAUGGGAGCUUCAUUGUCCCAUCUGACUCUGAACAUAGAUGACAUGGUAGCCAAUGCGUCUGCCAACUGAUUCUCUUCUCGUGGAAUAUGUUCGAAUGUAAUCUCUUCAAAGUAUGGGAUUAAUGUCAACACCCGCUCUCGAUAAGGGAUGAGAUUCGGAUGUUUAGUGUCCCAUUCUCCUUUGAUCUGACUGAUUACUAAGGCUGAGUCUCCGUACACACUCAAAAACUUGAUUCUCAGGUCUAUAGCAGCUUUGAGUCCCAAAAUACAUGCUUCAUACUCAGCCAUAUUAUUGGUACAAUCAAAACAUAGUCUAGCAGUGAAAGGCGUAUGGCAACCCUUGGGAGAAAUAAUUACAACACCAACACCAUUGCCCAAUGCAUUAGAAGAUCCAUCAAAAACCAUAGUCCAUCGGGAUCCCAGUUCGGGUCCUUCAUCCGGUCCAGGUUCUUCAUAAUCAGUAACAAGCAUGACAUCCUCAUCUGGGAACUCAAAAUUCAUAGAUUGGUAAUCAUCCACUGCUUGAUGAGCCAAAUGAUCAGCUAGCACGCUUCCUUUGAUUGCUUUCUGGGUAGUAUACUGGAUAUCAUACUCUGUUAAAAUCAUCUGCCAUCUUGCUAUUCUUCCGGAGAGAGCAGGUUUCUCAAAUAUAUAUUUGAUAGGAUCCAUCUUAGAAAUCAAUAAAGUGGUAUGAUUCAACAUAUACUGUCUUAGUCGGCGAGCAGCCCAAGCCAAAGCACAACAAGUUUUCUCGAGCAGUGAGUAUCUUGUUUCACAGUCGGUAAACUUUUUGCUAAGGUAGUAUAUGGCAUGCUCUUUUCGACCAGACUCGUCAUGUUGCCCCAACACACACCCCAUUGAAUUUUCUAACACGGUCAAAUACAUGAUUAGAGGUCUUCCUUCAACUGGUGGCAUCAGAAUUGGAGGUUCUUGGAGAUACUUCUUGAUUUUGUCAAAAGCUUCUUGACAUUCAUCAUUCCAUAUUAUCUCUUGAUUUUUCCUCAGUAAUUUGAAGAUGGGUUUGCAGGUAGCAGUCAAAUGGGAGAUAAAUCGGGCAAUGUAAUUCAAGCGUCCCAAGAAACCUCUGACUUCUUUAUCUGUACGGGGAACUGGCAUUUCUUGAAUAGCUCUCACCUUAGCCGGGUCAACCUCAAUUCCUUUACCACUGACAAUAAAGCCCAAGAGUUUACCGGAUCUUACUCCAAAGGUGCAUUUGUUCGGGUUCAAUCUCAACUUGUAUUUCUUCAACCUCUCAAACAGUUUGUAUAAAUGAUCGAGAUGUUCUUCUUCAGUAUGAGAUCUGGCUAUCAUGUCAUCCACAUAUACCUCUAUUUCAUGAUGGAUCAUAUCAUGGAACAAAACCACCAUAGCACGCUGGUACGUUGCCCCUGCGUUCUUUAAACCGAAUGGCAUUACUUUGUAACAGAAAGUGCCCCAUUGCGUCACAAACGUAGUUUUCUCCAUGUCUUCAGGUGCCAUCUUAAUCUGGUUAUAACCUGAGAAUCCAUCCAUGAAUGAGAAUACCUUGUGUUGAGCGGUGUUAUCUACCAGAACAUCAAUGUGCGGAAGUGGAAAGUCAUCUUUGGGACUUGCUUUAUUCAAAUCUCUGUAAUCUACACACAUUCGCACCUUACCAUCCUUCUUUGGCACUGGUACCACAUUAGCAACCCAUUGAGGAUAAGAAGUAACAGCCAGAAAACCUGCAUCAAAUUGUUUCAUAACCUCGGCUUUGAUUUUCUCAGACAUUUCAGGACGCAUGCGACGAACCUUUUGCUUAACAGGACGACAAUCUUCCUUCAUUGGCAGACGAUGCACUACUAUAUCAGUAUCCAAUCCUGGCAUGUCUUCAUAAGACCAAGCAAAAAUCUCUACAUAGUCAUGUAACAUCUGAAUCAAUCUUCCUUUGACACUGCUUUCCAAGCCUGCUCCUACUUUGGCUUCUUUCUUGUCUACUUCAGUACCCAGAUUUACAGUUUCAAUUGAUUCCUCAUGCGGCUGUAUAGUCCUUUCUUCUUGCAGUAACAGUCUGGCAAGUUCUCCAGGUACUUCACAAUCUUCCUCACUUCCAUCCUCGGCUUGGUAGAUCGGAUUUUCAAAGUCAUAAUGAACAGUAGUAGAACUAUUAUCAACAGGAUCCAGAGUGGGUAUGGAUCUGCAAUUUGUUACGUGAGUGUGUGUAAGAAAACAUAGCUUGUUUGAAAGAUGACAGGAAAGAUAAAAGAGCGCAAUAUUUGAAUGCAAAAAGUCCAUUGAUUUAUUGAAUGUGGAUAUGCUUAUGAAAAUGACAAAACCCUUAACAAAUUAGCUAUUGUGCCCCGGGCAUAGACCCAAUGCUUUAAGAAGUUCAAUUGUAAAAAAUUAAAAAUUUGCAACACUAAAAUAGACAAUAACAAUUACUCCUGACUAAAGGAAAACAUGAUAGUGUCUUUAGCCUUCCAAUUAUUGAGUCCGUCACCAAUUGUUGGGAAAAUCCAACUAUCUAGGUCGCAAUCGCUAUCAGCAUCUUCUACAGCAUUAAUUUGAUCUUUGACCACUUUUUCGGGGCUAAAUCCCAGGGCGAAUCUAUCAGACUUGUAUGGCACAUCGAUCAGUUGACCCCAGCCAGUACGACCACCAUCUUCAACCACGGUUUGAGCGUCCUUUAGAGAAAUCAUAGUAGGAGGAGCACGAAUAACCUUGGGCACACAGGAAGUUGGCUUAAGGACAGGACUAGUCGGAGGAACUACUUCAAAUGACUGAGAAGGAGUCUCAAAGAAUUCACCAUCCAUCUCGACGUAUCUGAAGAUAAGGACAGGACUAGUCGGAGGAACUACUUCAAAUGACUGAGAAGGAGUCUCAAAGAAUUCACCAUCCAUCUCGACGUAUCUGAAGGUAUGCACACUACUGACAAUAUACUCUUCUUCCCCAUACACCGUGACGAUCUUACCCUCUAUUGGAUACCUCAACUUUUGAUGGAGAGACGAAGCUACAACACUUGCCCCAUGAAUCCAAGGGCGUCCCAACAGGCAGGAAUAGGCAGGACGGAUGUUCAUUACGUGAAAGAUAGUGUUGAAGACUUGAGGUCCUAUCUUAAUAGGGAGAACCACUUCACCAUGGACAACGCUCUUCGCACCGUCAUAAGCACGUACCACAACGUCACUAGGUUUCAGUUCAAUGCUCUUGCAGUCAAGUUUAUCGAGCACAGCUUUCGGUAGCACAUUCAAAGAAGAGCCAUUAUCGAUCAACACAUGAGACAAAGUGAUCCCCUUACACUCAAUGGAGAUAUGCAGAGCUUUAUUGUGGUUCUUUCCUGCUGGUGUCAGGUCAGCAUUGGAAAAGCCUAGGCCAUUGUCAAUAGCCAAGUGAGCAACAUAAUUUUCGAACUGAUCGACGGAUGUCUCCUGAGGUACAUGAGCGAUCUUCAAGAAUUUUAUCAACGCAUUGGCAUGAGAUUCAGAAGAUAAUAACAAGGAUAGCAUCGAGAUCUUAGACGGAGUAUGCCCCAGCUGUUCUACCACAUCAAAAUCACUCUUGCGGAUGAUUUUCAGCACUUCUUCCAUUUCCUGCUUGGCAACAUCUUCGGUAGUAAUUUCGACCGGUGUCUCUGACUGAGAAGGGUUGACUGGUUCCUUUCCUCGAGUUUCAAGGGCAGGAGGUGAGAUUUCUGGAGAGAAGAUCCUUCCACUUUGAGUAAUUCUACUAGUCCCAACAAUGUCAUUAGGAUUAGCAGAAUUAUCAACUUGCUUUACGUCAUGGAUGUAAACAUCACCUCCAUAAUUCCACGAAAUAGCUUUGCUUGAGGAAUACGGUACUGGGCCAGGUGCAGUAAUGAUUAGGGGAGCUACCUUGGGCUCAGCAGUAAUCUUCACAGGCGCUCUAGUAGCGGUAAUCUUUACUGGAACUUUGGAUCUGGCAAUCACAGAUAUUUCUUCAAUAGGGUUUUCCACCUUAGGAAUCUUUUCGAAGAGAAUUAUACGAUCAUCCAUCAGCCGUUGAAUACCAUUUCUCAACUUCAAACAAUCAUUGGGUCGGAGUAUACAGAGAUCGCAAUCUUCAGCACAACCUGGAAAUAAACCAGCUUGCAAUAAAUUCUUCUUGAAGGUCAGGAGAGGAGAUGCUAAGUCAGCUACAUUAGGAAUGAGAGAAUUGUCAUCCACAACAUUAACAGUCUUGUCAUGAUUAGGCAUAGGAGCAGUGAUGACAUUAGGAGUCUCAGGAGGAUCAAAUUCAAUUUCUCCAGCGUCGAUCAUAUCCUGAAUCUUAUUCUUCAACAACCAGCAAUCGUUUGUAUCAUGCCCGGGGCUAUCGGAGUGAUAUGCACACCUGGCAUUGGGAUUAUAACGAAAUUUCUCCAGCGUCGAUCAUAUCCUGAAUCUUAUUCUUCAACAACCAGCAAUCGUUUGUAUCAUGCCCGGGGCUAUCGGAGUGAUAUGCACACCUGGCAUUGGGAUUAUAACGAGGAGAAGUAGUGCUGAGAUUUGCGGGAGGGCCUCUGAGGGUGAUUAGAUUUGCCUUUAGCAUACCCUGCAGUGCUUGUGCUAAAGUCAUAUUGAUCUUGGUAAACUGCCUUCUUGGCCUGUCUUGUCUGUGCUGGAAGUUUUGAGAUGGCGGUGCUGCAGUCGUAACUGCUCCAAUGGUAUGGUCACGAUUUUUCUUGUUAUGACCCCUUUGACCGUACACGGUGUUUGAUUCGUUCCUCCCCUGAUAGGACUUUUUGGUGUUUGCAGAGGUAGCCGCCUAUAUCUUUCCACUUCGAAUACCGCUUUCAACAUGUUCACCUGUCAAUAUAAGUUUAGUGAAACCCGAUGAAGAACUUCCCAGUAGAUGGCUGUAGAAUGGGCCAGUCAGUGUACCCAUGAACAUGUCCACUAGUUCUCGAUCAGUCAUAGGGGGUUUGACUCUGCCAGCCAAAUCUCUCCAUUUUUGAGCAUAUUCUUUGAAGCUUUCUUUAGAGCCCAUAGUCAUACUCUGCAACUGUAGCCGAGUAGGCGCUAAUUCAGAAUUAUACUGGUAAUGCUUGUAGAAAGUCGUCGCUAAAUCAGUCCAGGUGUGGAUGUUAGAGCUCUCGAGCUGAUAAUACCAUUCCAACUGUGUGCCAGACAGACUCUCUUGGAAGAAAUGGAUCCAUAGCUUCCUAUCAGUGGUAUACGGCUGAAUCUUUCUCACGUAAGCUCUCAGAUGCAUCUGNNNNNNNNNNNNNNNNNNNNNNNNNNNNNNNNNNNNNNNNNNNNNNNNNNNNNNNNNNNNNNNNNNNNNNNNNNNNNNNNNNNNNNNNNNNNNNNNNNNNNNNNNNNNNNNNNNNNNNNNNNNNNNNNNNNNNNNNNNNNNNNNNNNNNNNNNNNNNNNNNNNNNNNNNNNNNNNNNNNNNNNNNNNNNNNNNNNNNNNNNNNNNNNNNNNNNNNNNNNNNNNNNNNNNNNNNNNNNNNNNNNNNNNNNNNNNNNNNNNNNNNNNNNNNNNNNNNNNNNNNNNNNNNNNNNNNNNNNNNNNNNNNNNNNNNNNNNNNNNNNNNNNNNNNNNNNNNNNNNNNNNNNNNNNNNNNNNNNNNNNNNNNNNNNNNNNNNNNNNNNNNNNNNNNNNNNNNNNNNNNNNNNNNNNNNNNNNNNNNNNNNNNNNNNNNNNNNNNNNNNNNNNNNNNNNNNNNNNNNNNNNNNNNNNNNNNNNNNNNNNNNNNNNNNNNNNNNNNNNNNNNNNNNNNNNNNNNNNNNNNNNNNNNNNNNNNNNNNNNNNNNNNNNNNNNNNNNNNNNNNNNNNNNNNNNNNNNNNNNNNNNNNNNNNNNNNNNNNUCUAACUGUGUGCCAGACAGACUCUCUUGGAAGAAAUGGAUCCAUAGCUUCCUAUCAGUGGUAUACGGCUGAAUCUUUCUCACAUAAGCUCUCAGAUGCAUCUGCGGACAAGACGCACCAUCGUACUUAGUGAAAGUGGGGAUCUUGAAUUUACGCGGAAUGACCACAUCAGAGACCAGACCUAAGCCUUCGAAAUCCAGGCCGGGCACCUUCUGACCCUCCAUAGCUAGCAUACGUUCUUCCAAUAACUUGUACUUAUCAUCUUUUGGAGAGUACUGUUCAUUCUCAUAAUCUUCAUCUUCGUCCUCCUGGCUGAAAGGAUCAGCAUUCUCAUCUUCUGAAUCUGUCCCCUCUUCUUGAUCCUUCGGAAUUCUAAUCUUGACUCCUGCAGCCUGUCCUUUAAGCCUUCUUCCCGGGUUAAUGUAACUCACAGGUUUCUUGUCCUUUUUAUUCUCGAGCAAGAGAGCCUUCAGUUCCUCCUUCCCCUUGGAUAAACUCAAGAUCAUCUCCUGGAAUUGAGCAUUCUGAGCCUGGAGAUCUUUGACAGUUUGUUCGAGAGCCAUUUUUCUGUUUGUAAUAGAAAGACCGUGAGAACAUUGAUCCUUCAGAAUACCUGUUAUGCAAUGUUAUGUUAUGCUAUGCAAUGUAUGAAAUGUUUUCAAGGACUUUUGGAAUUUAACUUUGCGUAAACCACCCAAAAGGGGAAUUCUCGGGCUUUAUUUAUCAGAAAUUUGGCAAGUAAACCCUUAACUCCACUUCUUGUUACCCAAUUAGUUUCAAUGUCGGACUUUGUCAUGUGUAAAGUCGCGGCAACUUCUUCAGACUUCGGAAUCUUUUCUAAACCGCUGAAAGGUGUUUGAUCAAGGAUAGGUAUCCCAAGCAGCCUGGAGAAUUCUUCUAAUGUGGGCCCCAACUGAUAAUCUAGGACGGUGAAGCAAUGAUGUUUAGGAUCGAAGAACUGGAAUAGAACUCUCAUCAUAUCUUCUUUGAAACCGGGGGUAACUAAAUUGAGGAGAUAACCAUGUUUCUUGAUGAACUGAGCAUGAUUGGGAAGCUCUGACACUAAAUUCUUGAGUUGAGGAGAGAUCGUUACAAAAUUGAUACGGAUGGUCUUCCUGGAAGCCAUAGCCUUACAAAACAGAGCAAAGUUGAAUUCCUAAGUCCUUGAAAUGGUUAGUACAAUGCCAUGAUGUUAUGAUGUUAUGAUGUUAUGUAAAUAACAAGCACAAGCAAGUCACACAGCAAUCAUUCCUAAGUUUUAAGGCUUGCAUGAAUUCCAUAGGUAAGUACCCUCCCCACUGAAGUUUGGUUGGUUCAACCUGUCCUAGAAUAGUAACCGGGUUCUAAAAGGAUCUCCAAUCAUUGACCUUCCUUUAAGUCCACUUCAGUGCAACACCAAGUGGUUGACCAAAGCUUCCCUAAAGUCCAAUCUCAAAGAGUGUAGUAUCGAGUCUCAACCGACCCCAGUCGGAACCGAAGUCAGUUAUCUCACUACUUUCUAAUGGCUAGGAUGAGUCAAUUAGGGUUCUAAAGGUCUGGUUAACGCUUUGAUGACACCACGCGGACGCCAAAUUUUUCCUCAAGUAAAUAUGAGGAACAUCAGGACAUCCAAAGUGUCACAUUAACCAUAGCCAUCAUUUUAACCAUUCCGGUAUACGCCGGAUAGUCGCGAUGAUUUAUUGCUACUUACCUAAGGUACACUAGAUCCGGGUGUAGGAUCUUUCACUCAAGCAUAACAUACCUAAGCAAUCCCUUAAAAGUAAAUCAGACAAUUCAAAUAAGUGAUCUUGGUUUUUUUUUUUUAAGGCAACCUCUCUUUUUAAGAGUCCCCAGCAGAGUCGCCAGUUCUGUCAUACGGUGAACUGACUUUGUGUGUUUUUGCUUUGGAAAGCAAAUGUCGCGGAUAGCAAGAGUCGCCUGACCCGGACUUGUCUUAUCCAAUAAGGAAGGCGGAAAAGGAACAGAAAUAUCCCUUGAUUAGAUUUUGGGUUGGGAGGUACAUUAUACAAAAGGAAGGUUUAACACCCUUUGUAUGCCAUGGUUAUCAUGGGCUCGUUAACUGAUGAUCACUAAGUUUUUCUCUUUCUGAAAAAUGUUGAGAACUUUAGAAAAAUGUUUUGAAAAGAGAGUUUAUACUUGUUAAUAAAUUCUUGUACGAAUGUCAACAAAGAUAUCUCGUUUAAUUUUGAGAAGUUUUAGUAAAAAUAACUUGGCAAUGAUUCUAGUACGAAUGUAUACCAAGUGGUGAUUUUCUAAUAGAUGUUUUGCAAAGUGUGAGGUGUGAAAAGUAUUUUAAGUUGUGAGUCAGCAUUUAAGAGUUGUACCUAAUCAAGGUCUUUAUGGGUAUUUCCUAUCCUUAGGAGGGUAAAACUGUCCUUACUAUUGAGAAGUAAGUAGUCUUAUCCUUGGGAUGUAAGGGACAUCGUAGGGUCAUCGAUUGGUCAUUGAAAGCAACAUUUGUAAGGAUACCUUAGCAUUCGAAGGGACGAUCAUCAUUUAACCGUAGGCUACAUCGAAGGGUCAUUGAGGGACAAAAAUCAUAUAUUCGCAGGCAACAUCCGAGGGACUAUGAUUUAUCUUAUAAGGACAUGAUGAUUUAAUCGAAGGGUCUUUGCUAAGUGUAUCCCCACAUUCGCGGGACAUAACCGUAAUAUCGUAAUACUGUAAGGCAACAAAGAGAGGUCCAAGAUCACAUAUUCAAAGGCAAUAUUUUAUAAUCAGUUAGGUAAUUAGGAUGAAUCUCCACAAGGGUAUCCCACAAAUAAAGUGGAAUACCUAGCAAGCUACCUUCUUCGGGAGUAUGUGAGCCCUCACAAAAUUCAACAAACAGGUCAGAAUACCAAAUACCAAAUGGGGUGCAAUCAAGAGUUGCACCAAACAAAGCAGUAAUAGUAUCAGGUAAACAAUGCAUGGUUAUAAUAAAACAGGUCAGAUGAGCAAAGAUCAAAACAGAACGAAAAACAGCGACUGUCAUGUUCGCUACUGCCUCGCCUAGCGAAGGCUGGGCGAACACUCGCUACAUGUUCGCUUAGCGAUGUGCUAGCAAACGGCUGCGGGUUUUGAGUUUAACAACAGUAUGGUUCAGCAAGCUCCAAACCCUAUGGCAUCCAUUACAGCAAUUACAUGGUUAAACAUUCAAGAUAUUGUUUUGCACAUUCAUAUAUACUUAAACCCACAUGCAAAACCUAAGAUAUAUUUAUAAAUUCAAUCAUAAUGUCACAUGUAAAUUGGAAACAUAAAGCGGUAGUGGUAGUGCAAACCUGUUUGCAAUUGAAUUGCAACGUUGAAUUGGCAGAUCACUCUUAGAGUUGGUGUCAGAUUGAGUUGGGCGGAGGUAACCUUUGUGCAGAUGAGUUGCCUUCAGGGUUGCUCUGAAUUCUCUUGGUUAGCCUCCAGGGUUUGUUCGGUUACUUCUGUUAGGGUUUCCUUGCUAGGGUUUCUGUCCCUAUGUUUCUCCGUCCUUUUUCCUGAAUGAAGCUCUGGUAUUUAUAAUGAUUUCUGUGACCUAACGGGCUCAGAAUGAAGCCCAAAAUUUCUGGUAUUCGCAAGCUUCGCUAGGCGAGUGGUGCAGCGAAGAGUUCGCUAGGCGAAGGAUUUUGCUCGCCUAGCGAGCAAGCCAUUUUAAGCCAUUUUCUGGAUCGCAAGCUUCGCUAGGCGAGUGGUGCAGCGAAGAGUUCGCUAGGCGAAGGAUUUUGCUCGCCUAGCGAGCAAGCCAUUUUAAGCCAUUUUCUGGAUUUGGCCACCUGUGUGCUGGGUCUUUGUUCCCUUAAGAUCAAUGUCUUGAAAAAUAAGUUAGAGUGCCUUGAAAAAAUGCCUUGUAAUAUUAACGGGCAAAUUUUGGGGUAUGACAUUUAGCAUUGCAUUUCAUGUUUUAGGACAUUAGGCAUUGCAUUUUGCAUAUCAUUUGAAAAUAAAGAAGAUCAUCCUCCAAAGUCUUUUCCAGAAGAUGAGAAGGUACAUGAUUCAAGCCUGAGGGUCUCCAUAAAUUGAUCACCAGCUAUCUGAGGGUUUGUGCAUUAGGGUUUCCUAAUCCUUCAAAGGUUUUGAGUAUUAUCUUGAUUGCAAGGGUACAUCAUCAUCAUCAUGGUUACGUCAUCUUCCAGGGCUUCAUUGUGCAUUGCUCCAGUUCCUUUGGAUUAGGGUUUUGACCUCUGGUCAACCCUAACCAAUUGCAUUCUUUCAACCAGGGUUUCUCAAGGAAAUGAGGUAUUUGUGGAUGAUGAAGAUCACAUGGUUAUAUGGAGAAUCUUAUUUGAGUUAGGGUUUCAUUUCUGAGCCAAUUCCCCAAGUGGUUGAGGCUCAAGCUGAUCAGAGCAUGUCAAGGGCAUUUGAGGACCAUAGAAAGUUAACUGAGGGCUAGGAGGUGGAGAAAUGAGUCUCAACACUUCAUUCAUGUCCAAAAGAGGUUUACUCAUCAUGUUAAACAUCUAUCUUGAAGAAUUUGAAGCCAGAUCAAAAGUUUCCAAAAAUGGAAAGUGACUUGUAAUUGAAAGUUUCCAAAAAUGGAAUGAUUUUGGUUCAAAUUCAACUUGAUUUUACAUCAUCAAAGAAGCUUCAAAUUAAAUUUUGUCCAACAUGAAAGUUGAAGAUCUUUCUCUCCCAUUUCCAAAAAGUCCAAGAUCAUGAGCAUAUGAUGAAUGGUUGAAGAAUUAUUAUCAAAUGAUUGCCAAGGGUGCAUGGAAGUUCAACAUGCCAUAACUUUUGAUUCAAAACUCCAAUUUAAGCCACUCUUUUUGCAAAUUGCUUCUUAUGACCUAUAUUUUCCAAAUCAAGCAUUGCAUUGCAUGAAAUAAGUUCAUAUGACCAUGUGUCCAUUCAUGUGCCUUUUGGAGGGAAAAGUGGUAAUUCAAAAUUGGUUCAUUAUGCAUGCCAAAUACCAUUCCAAAAUUGUUCAUUGGCUAAUUUUAAGUGAAUCCAAUAAGUUCAUAUGACCAUGUGUCCAUUCAUGUGCCUUUUGGAGGGAAAAGUGGUAAUUCAAAAUUGGUUCAUUAUGCAUGCCAAAUACCAUUCCAAAAUUGUUCAUUGGCUAAUUUUAAGUGAAUCCAUGCAUUUGCAUGAGGAAAUUCACGUGGUGCAUGGUCAUGAAAGUCCAUUAUUCAUUUUUGGCAAGGCAUUUUAAUUUUCACUAAUCAUGAUUAGCACAAGCCCAAUUUUGAUUUCAGAGUGAUUAGUACAUGGUAUAAAUAGCUUAAGCAUAACAGAAUUUUCAGUUUACACAAGUUCUAGAUCUAGAUUUGCUUUUCCCUCCAAAAUUCUCUCUCUCAUUGGAAUUCAAAUUUUCUCCACACAAACACACAUUUUCUUCAUAUAUCCAUCAUCCUCAUGGAAUUUGGAGCAUGAAUCAGUCAUAAUUCGUGGAAAUUGAGCAAGGUUUGGAGCUGUUCAAGCACAUCAACACUUCAAUGGAGGUUUGAAAUUCAACAAGAUCCAGAUCAAUUCAAGUGCCAAUUCCUACAUAGAGCUUCAUAUCAAGGUUGGAGGAGAAGAAUUUGAGCUUUUGGAAGCUUGAGGACGAGUAUUUUGGUCACUACACAACAGGUUGGUGGAUUUUCGAACCUUUUCUUUUGUUAAUUCGUGCAUAGGAUCUUGUAGAUCUCAUCAUGCUGAGAAUUCUGAUGUGUUUGGAUUUAAAUUUGGUGAAAUAUUGAAGAAGUUGUGUUGAUUUAAAGUUUGAUCCAGUUUUCUUUCCUUCGAUUCGUCCAAUAUAUGAUGAAUUAGACUUAAUUAAUGCUGGAUUCGUGUUGUACAUAAGAUAAGCUUUCGAAUGAUGUAUAUAUUACUGGAUUCUGCAAAAAAAAAUUGGACGUGUACUGUAGAGCCACCGUCUCCUUGAAGAAGACGGUGGAAACCACCGCUCCCGCCGCCGUCUGAAAAAGUGCCUAGGGUUUGAUCCUAGGUGGCGCCACGCAUGCGCCUGUUGGCCAAACCGUUGGCUCUCAUCCUUUUGACCCGGUCCACGCAUGCUUUGACCGUGAGUUGGCAUGCCAACUCAAUUAGUAAUGCGCUGUGUUUUGUCCAGCGCCUCCAACCUCCCUUCGAUCCUUGGCUCCAGCAAUUGUGAUUUAUUUUUGCCAAGCACGCUUCCAAUAUGCAUACCUGGUUCGAUCCUUACAUGUUGCAGUUUCCAAUUUCCAUUCAUAUCCCAUUUUCAAUAUUUUUUUCAUGUUUAUUUCAAAUAUUUUCCUUAACUUCCAAAAUUCAUAACAAAUAGAAUACUAAUCCAAUUUAACUCAAAUUUUUUCCACAUGAUCAUCUGAAUGUCUAUUAUUUUGUGGUUGUGAUUUCAUGAUUUUAUCAUUUCUGGAUUUUUAAUUGUGGACUGUUAUUUGAACAUGAUGCAAAAUGUGACAUGUUGUACCAAUUCUUUUGUGAAAUGCCCAUACAUUGUCCAAUUGAUUUGAAAUUUGGUAUGCUGAUUCCCAACAUGUUGCAUAAUUUGUGAGCUUUUGUUUGGCAUUUUUAGCAUUUUCCAUCUCUGUUUUGGACACAUGGAUGCAUGGUGUGACAAUGUGUGUCACACAAUUUGAUGUCAUACUUGUUCAUUUUCAUAUACAUGUCAAUUGAGCUUUACUGAUUCCAAAUUUUUGUAUGAUGCUUGUGUUUAACAUGUUGUGUGCACAUAAAAAUUUCCAUGGUUAUUUGAUUCAUUUCUGUUUUAAUAUGGAAUUUCUACUCUUAAUGUCCAAUUGUGUGCUUUGUAAUUGCCUUUGCCUUACAUUAGAUGGAUUUGCUUUAGGAUUUGAGUUUGGUCCUUUUUAGGACAUGUUCUUACUUGAAUAAAUAUGCUUCAUGUUGAAUAUUGGUUGCUGUUUUGACUUUUUGCUUCGCCUUUGACCCUAGUCUUGGACUAGUGGUUUGUACUCAUCUUUUGAGCUUUGUAUUUCAGGUUCAAGCUAUUAGCUCUAGUGGUUGAUGCUAUCUCAUGACUUGAGAUGCAAAUUUGCUUUAUACACUAACCUUUGUUGUGUUGUAGGUUCCUUGGUGAUGAACUUACUUGAGUUGUUGAGUUGUUGACUUGCCUUGUGUGCAUAUUGGUUGUACCACUGUUGACUGUUUGUUGGAUUUGUCUGAAUGUGAAUAUUGACUUGUUUGACUUUCUUACAGGUACUUUAGCCGCUUUAGCUCAUUGGUUGAGCUUUGCUUUGCUUGUGGUUGGCAUACCACCUAGGUAAUCAUCCUCUAACUCCAUGUAGUCUGGAAGCCCUGUCGUUUCUGUUUGGCAGACAUUUGGCUGAAGUCCUCCUUAAGAGGCAAUGACUGUGAUUGUUUAUAUUUGUGCCAUGUACUUCGAGUCCUCCUAAGUGAAGAGGCGAUUCGCAGAUAGAAGGGAUUAGAAAUCAAUCCCCUGCUAUUCAGUUGAGUCUUUCAUUAUGCUCGCACUACGUGCUGAUGCUUUUGAAUAAACACCCAAGAUCCUUGUAUAUAGAGUCAGUCAAGUGGAGUAGGG